rnacentral:lncRNA from 1 species
AAAGAUUGAAACAGAUAAGGCUACACUGAGCACAGGAUGCCAUGAAACAUAAUCCAGGAACCAAAUUAAUAAAAAAGGAAGCCAAACCAUUAUUUAACAAUCUGUUUUGUAUUUGGGAAAGUCUGAUAAAAUCUACUUAGGGAUAAUUAGAGAACUUCAACUAUUAAUCACACCUCAUAAAUGAACUAACAUUAACCAUCUACCAUCCCCACGUCACACAAACAUUCUCUAUACUUCUGAACCUAAUACUUCCAUCUUCAAUUGGGGGGUUUUUUUCUUUUUUCUUUUUUUUGGGGGGGGGGGGGGGGGGGGGGGGAAGCUAUCAAUUUUCUAAGCUUGCUUAGCUUCUGUGUGGGAUUGAAAUGCUGAUUUCGAAUCACUAACAGUAAAAUUGGAAGCUCAUGAGAAAAUAGAGAAAGACCUAAUGUUGAGUCCUUUGGCGCAUGUCUCUUCAUAGGUCCGAACCAUUUCUUCGGGCGUGGGUUACGGCCGAGAUUGGAUAAUGAUGGAGGAGGAGAAAAUAGAUAAUGAUUGCACUAAUUUUCUAGAUGAAUUUUUUCCUACAUGCUUGUUCCCGAAUGACCCAAAAUCCUGCUACAUCAGUUGUAUUAGAAAUUAAUCAACUGGGUUACAAUUAUGCAUCCCCACCAAUAUUUAAGCAAUUUACAGAAACAUUUCUUGAGGAAAAAAACUCAUAUCGCCACUAGGCUUUUAAUGAGGCUCAUUUUUAUGAAUUUGGAUGGCAUUAGAUAUCUCUCCAAAUAUUGGUGGGAGUAGAUCGCAGAUCUCUGGGCUAUACUACAAAGUGUAUGUACGUUGACUCUCAAUAAAUACAAACGAUUCUCUGAUAUGAUUCAAAACAUCAGUACAUGCAUCAUUUUAAUGAGAAAGAAUAUUCUAAGAACGAAAUUGAAGGUGCAAUCAGCAGCUAAAAUGAAGCCAGAAAUGUACACGCAUGAGGAACUUUUCCUAGAAGAUUGAUAUUUCUUUGACUAGCAAACCACACACGUCAAAGCUAGCCAAACCAUACCUGCAUGUCGGGGGUUUAAAUGGAGUACUUCUAAGCAUAAAACAUUGAUUAAAACAGAAUACACACAUACAUACCAGCAAAUUCAAAAUAGCAAAAGGAGUGCAAAAGUUCAAGUUUGUAGACAACAUUGCAACCAUGGCAUGUUUAUAGCAAAUCCUCGAAAUCUGCUAAAUAAAACAAUGCCAUGUCUCAUGAAUCAAUGCUGAAUUAAAAUUGAAACUGAAAGUCUGGCUAGCGAUGUUUCCCUCUCCAAUUUUGCCUACAUAAGUGAAAAUAAGAAUAAUAAAUGAAAAUCUGCUUUGACAGUUCUUAUUAGAUAGAUAUAAAAAGAUCUUUCUUUGUUUCUCUGCAGCAAUCUGUGGCUAUCCCACUCUGUUUUGCCAGUCAAGCUGCGGCCUCAAUUAGUUUGGCACUUUUAUGACCUCCUUGAAGGUUUUACGAUAAACAUAAAUCUACUGACAAAGUGGGCAAAAAGAAAAUGUAUAUAAAAGUAUGAGUUAUCAGAUAAGAUUAAAACUCACCCAAUUCAAUCCAUCAGAUUCCGUAAGGAUAUAACUGGAUGUCAUACCGCCACUCUAUAUUCUUGAAAGUCCGUAGUGUUUGUCUCAACUGUGUCUGGGGCCAGUGUAAGUCCAAUUUGCGCAAGCUCUCUAUGCACCACAGCUCUUCUGGAAGCUUUCUCAAGUAAGCACAUGGGUUGACAAUUAAGCUUUCAAGUUUCGGCAUUGCUCCAGCCCCCAUCGUCCACUCAUCUAGCCAAUACAUUGAUUUCAGGUGCAAAACCUUAAGUUCGGGAAAGCUACUCAAGCCAACACAAGCAAGCUUUCUUCCUAAAUACGAGUUCUGCUUCAGUUUCAGCACUCGAAGGAGUGGAAGAUUUUCCAGAAUUGGCAUGGGAUCCUCCAUUAGCUCAGUAUUUGAUAAGCUCAGUUGGAUCAGACUUGGGGGAAAUUGGUAUUCAGACAGGACCAUCCGUGAGGGCUUGCUCUCAUUCACCAGCUUCAAGCAUUCAAGUUUGUGGAGUUCGCAAAGGCUUUUGGAAACCCCAGAUUGAUAGUAACUCAAAUCUCCAGAUAUCCGAAGAGUCUGAACACUAGGUAGUCUGCCCAAUAUAUCAGGAGUACAACUACUAGGGUUUAAAGCUGAUAUGAAAAUGAGAUUUUUCAGAGAGCUAGAAUAAUUUUUUGGAGGUGCGGGCAGAGUGAUAGAACCAAAGUUUAGAUGCAUGAGUUUUUGCAUCAUCCAAAUAUCCUCUGGUGACUGAUCUAUGUAGCUAGAUGGCAUUUCUAGUGUUUCAAGGUUUAAAAGGGUGCAUAGCAGUGAAGGAAGGCAUUUGGGCGAAGGGAUAUUCAAUUUCAAAUACUUCAAAAGGAAUGAAUUUUCUAAUCCGGGUGGAUAUUGGUCCAGGACUGCAGAACCCAUGUUCAAUACCCGAAGGUAUUUGAACCUUUUAAAAAAAUUCUCGCAAUCUUUCGAAUUAAGAUGAUUGCUUUUUGAACUGUGAUUCAGAAAAGAAGUUUCUGCAGAACCCAUGUUAGAAUGUUUCAAAGAAAAGAAGUCAAUCUGAUUACCCAAAAUGAUGUACCGUUUAACAUUUUCCGGUGGUUCAUCUUCCAUGUCAAGCAUCCAGACAAAUCCCGUCUUCUCUGCCACCAAUAACAAUGAAUAAUAUACAAUACUUGGAACAUAACACGCUUUAAUCGUGCCUCCGGCGCUUCUCUUACUCACUUGAAUGAAGCCGCGAUGGAUUAGUUCUUUCAAGUAAUGUUCGGCCGUCUCCUCACUGUUGUAUGGUAUGAAACCUUCAGCUACCCAUAACUGAUAUAAUUGCCUCGUGGAUAUCUCAAUACUUGGAGGGAAGACACACAAAUAGAUGCAGCAGACUUUCAAGUGAAAAGGUAACUCCAUCACAGAGAAAGUUUGUCUCCAUACUGUCGGAAUCGCUUCGCCUUGAAGAUAAUUUCCUAAUGGCAUACUUCCAUAGUGUAGGACGAAAAAUUGCCAGGCUUCAAGCUUUAAUCUGAUCAAUGGUCCUCCAAUGAGCACCGAAUCAAGCCGAAUCUUCUCUCCGUUUUCCAUUUUCAGCGACGUAAGGAGUUCUGGUUCAGUGACCAAUAUCAAUACUCUGCUUCCAUUCUCAUUAUCAGGGAGAACUUCUUCGAGAUCACUCCAUAUCUCACUGUAAUCGAAGACGUCAUCAAGCACAAUAAAGUACUUCUUGUUGGUUAGGUAAUCUCGAAGAACAGAUUUCUUCAAUUGAUAAUGUUCACCGAUAAUUACACUAACCCGAGAUGGAGGCAUCACAGACUUGAUUAUGUCAUCCAAUAUCCAUACUUUAUCGUAGGCUAUAGAAACCCUUACCCAAGCAUGACAGUCAAAAUAGAACUUGACACGGUUAUUAUUGUAAGUAUCUGCAGCAAAAGCAGUCUUAUCGAAGCCACUGCUGUCGAGAAUUGCAACCACUGAAAGCCCAGAUGGUCCCUCAAUCAAUAGAUCAAAAAACUUCUCUCUGCCCCUUUCAAAUUCACUGAUAUCGAGCCGAGGUUGUCCCUCACUCAAUAGGCGUAUGAUUUCGUUCCUUUUUUCACUGAUAUCAAAACCAUUGUCGCCGGGUGGAAGUUGUUGCAUCCGAUUUCUAAUAUCAAUGAUUUUAGUGUGGAGUCCAACAAGAAGAGCCAUAUCAGUACUGCUUUCACUUUCGUUUUCACUGUUUUGCUGCUGCAUGAUUUUGAUGAAGAAUGUGUCAAUGGCUUCCUCAGAUUCAUGGACAAAGUCAUUGAUGUCCUCCAGAAUUUCAAAAAUAUCUGCUGUUUCAACGUCUUCUUCAUCGCUUUCUUCUAAGUCCAACAGUUGCAAAAAAGGCAAUGAUAUUUUGGAGUCAUCUAAUUCUUCUCUAAGGAGUUGAAACAAAUGCCGAGCCAUGUCAGCUUCAUAGUUUCCCAGCAGAGUAGUAGCAAUAAUUUCGGACUCCGUAAGAAGGUUUUGAAAACGUGGAGUUAAAUUUGUUGAAUCUGGCAAAGUUAACGUGCCUUCUUCACCUGCUAACACCCUUUUCAACCUCUCACAAAACAGUCGGAGGUGGAAUUCCAGCAUAUCUCCUUCUCUCCGUAGCACUCAGAGGUAUAGCUGAAAGAUUAAACACCAUGGAAGAAUUUGAAAGGAAAAUGCCAAGAAAUUGUGUAAGUGGCUAAAUUCCACAAAUAUGACAUUAUUGCUCAUUUUUUAACUCAAAAAAAGGGUACGCGUUCAUUUAGAGAAAAGUCCAAGACGCGUGCUUUUUGAAAAGAACAGGUAUCCCAAUCGGUAUCCAACCUUUAUCUUAUUUAAUUACUACCAUGACAUAAUUGAUGGUGCUUAAAUCAAUUGUUUCUUUUUUAAUUUAAAGAAUUUUUCAUUAAAAAAAUAUUUUAAUAUCAAAUUGCCUUCAGUGGCGUAACAACUGCCUGAAGCCCAGUAACAGGACUAAUUAAAAAUUUUACAAUUUUUGGGCAUGGAAAUAGUAGUAUUAAACAUUAGAAAGGUGAGGUUGUUCUGUUAAAGAAUUGAUAUUGACAUAAUUUUAUUUUGGUUUUCGUGGAAAACAAAAAUAUUUGUUGACAAGCAAGAAAAUAUUUUUAUUUUUUAAAAUUUAUUAUGCAUAUUUUAUCAUAUUGAAGUAAUUUUAAUAAUAAAUAGAAACAUAAUAUUACAAUAAAUAAAUUAAAAUUUAACUUAUUUUGAAUAUUAUAAAAAAUAAUUUUAAUAUUAUUAAUAGGAAGACAUUGUAUUAAUUUUAAAAUUUUUUAACCCAAAGGUUUAUUUAAAAUCUUUAUUAUAAAUACAAAUAUAAAAUUAAAUAUCAUAAUUUAAAAUUUUUAAUAUUAUUUUAAGUAUUAAAAAUAUUUUAAUGUUAUUAGUCUACUACAUAGAUCAUAUUACUUAUAUAAUAUUUGUAUUAUUAAAAAUUUUUAAAAUCAAAUUUUUAGUUAGUAUAUUCAUGAGGUAUUAUGGUUACAAAAAAAAGACCUUAUUAUUACUUUUUAAAAAAUUGAGGGUCUGCGAUGAUAAUUUUUUCAAAAAGAAAAUACAUGGUAUGUAGGAGGGGUAGAGAAACAGGACUUCCAAAAUCUCUCACCCUUCUUUAAUUAAAAAAAAAAUUAAAAUAUUAAUAAAAAAUAAUAAAGAAAAUAGAAUUUUAUCUGCUCCUUACUCCAUUUUUGCAACUCUCUCAACAUCUCUGUCGAGCAGCCUUCUCUCUCAUUGUCUCUCACUAUUUCACGAUCUCUCUCUCACUCACACAGGCAAUGACCAUCUCAUCAUCGGCGGUCGUGUCGUCAGUGUCACUGGUCUUGCUCGACCGAGACAGUGAGAGAGAGGUUUCUUAGAUGGAGUGAUGAUAAAGGAUUCUAUUUUUUUUAUUAAUAUUUUAAUUUUUAAAAUUAAAAUGUGCUGCCGUUUCUCUUGUCUUUUUAGCUGUUUAGCAGCACUCUUUUCAAAAUUUAAGAAUGUAGGUGUCCUAUAAGAGAUCGAUAAAAGAACGUCAAUUAAAUUUAUAAAAAUAUGAUAAAAGAACGUCAAUUACUUGUCUUUUAGGGAAUCCAAUGAGAAAUAUGAUAAAAGAACGUCAAUUACUUGUCAUUUUCAAUUUUUUUCUGUAAGCUAUUUAUUUUGAGCAUUAGUGAUCUUGUCUGGACUACUCCAAUUAUUGACGUAACUCCAGUGGCUGCAAUUAAUGAUAUAAAGCUGAGACUUUUGACCAAGUUAUCUAGUUGGGAAAGCAAAUUUUUUUCCAGUGGGGGUAAAGAAGUGUUGAUUAAAGCUGUUGCUCAGGCUGUGCCAGCCUAUGCAAUGAGUGUUUUUAAGAUCCCUCAUAGCUUUUGUGAUGACAUUGAGAAGGCUAUUACUCGUUUCUGGUGGGGUUCCUCUGAAACAAAAAGAAGCAUUCACUGGACAAGGUGGGAACAGUUGUGCCACGCCAAGAUAAGGGGGGGAUUGGGUUUUAGAGAUUUCUCUAGUUUUAACCAAGCCUUAAUUGCUAAGCAGGGGUGGAGAAUUCUGCAGCACCCUGACUCUUUAAUGGCAAAGAUUCUGAAAGCAAAAUAUUUUAAGCAUACUGGUUUUAUGGAUGCGAAAUUGGGUUCACACCCCUCUUUUGUUUGGAGAAGUAUAUUAUGGGGUAGGCAAGUGCUCCAUAACGGCCUAAGAUGGAGAAUCGGCAGUGGGAGUCAAGUUUUAAUUUCCAGUAGCAAUUGGAUAAAAAACCAUAAGCUUCCCAGUUUGGUUCCAUAUUCAGAUCUACCUCCUGAAACUGUAGUUGCUGACCUUAUUGAUGAAAGUCACCAAUGGAAAGAAGAUAUGGUUUUCCAAUAUUUUCCAAUGGAUGUUGCAAAGAGGAUCACCAGAACCCCUCUCCCAAAAACUCCCCAGCAGGAUCUUCUCAUUUGGAAAUAUGAUAAGCACGGAAUUUACUCGGUGAAGAGUGGGUAUCAAUUGGCUGUUAAGCAAAAAUUCCAAAAUUAUCCAAGUUGUUCAGAUGUUACCAAGUCAAGGUGGGAGGUGAUAUGGGCUACGGAUCUUCUAGGAAAAGUCAAGAUUUUUAUUUGGAGGGCUGCUCAAAAUCUUCUCCCUGACUUUUCUUGCAGCCCUCUAGUAUUCAGGGCAGCCUUAACUUCAUCCAAUGAUAAAGUCUGUCUCCCAUACAUGAGUGCAUCCACAAAGUUUGAAUAUGAGGAUGGAAGUGAACUAACCAGAAGCAAUGCUUUACCUUCAUCAUCUAAACCUUCAUCAAUUAUUUCCAAUGUAUCACAGACCUGAUUGAAUUCAUCAAUGUGGUCUUCGAGAGAUGACCCUUCAGCCAUCUUUAGUGUGAACAUUCUUUUCUUGAUGUAAAGUCUGUUGGCUAAUGAUUUAGUCAUAUACACCCUUUCAAGCUUUGCCCACAGAUCAGCCACUGUUCUUUCUCUUGCAACUUCCCUGAUCACCGAGUCUCCAAGACUCAAGAUUAUGGUACUCCUUGCCUUUUUGUCAAUCUCAGCAGCUUGUUGUGGUGUUAGUGAUGAUGAAGAUGUGGAGGCUUCUAAUCCUUCUUUCUUGAUGAUAGGUUCUAAGGCAUCACCUAGCCCUUGAGUGAUCAGUAAUGCCUCCAUUUUAACCUUCCACAUGUUGAAGUCAUUCUUCCCUGUAAACUUCUCUAGAUCGAUCUUUGAACCAACCAUACUUGUGUCUGAUUUGUAAUCCAAGCUCUGAUACCAAUUGUAGUGUUUAAGAGUGACUAACUAUCCCAAUCAACUCAAAACACUUCCCAAGAUCACACCCAAACAAACAAGAUGUACCAAGAAUCAAUCCAGUAGAAUACACACAGAUUAUUAGAACUGAAAGAAUUAAAGAAAAGGACAAGAAUUAACGUGGUUCAGCUAGCUUCAGUCUAGCUUACAUCCACGGGAGAAACAGAACCCAAUUGUAUUGAUUGUUUAAAGGAGUUACAGAGAGUUCAUCAAGCUUGUUACAGAGUCUCUCAAGAAGCCUUUUGUUAUUAAUCUUCUCAACUCACAAUAGCUCUCUCUUCUUUUUUCUCUGUUGCCAGAAUCAGCUGUAUAUAACAGCUUGUUAACGAAUCAGCAACCAACCCAGGAACCCACGUGACAGUCAUGUGAGUUAACUGAUUCUAACGAACCAAGAACGCAACUUAUCCAUGCACGUGAAACUCUCGUGCAUCACUUAACCAAAACGACCUUCAUACAUGUCGUUCCAGGAGAUACGAGUUUGACUUUCCAAAACGCAGCAUCAGCUGACGUUUUCACAAACAGAUUUGCUUCACAUCACAACAUUGGGGGUAGUCAUUAGAAACUCUGUGGGUAAGGUUGUUGCUGCAGCAGUCCAAGGAGCUCCAUAUAGGGGAGAUGUGGCGUGUAUGGAGGUUGAAGCUGUUCUGUUUGGUAUUCAGAGUGCCCAACAAGCAGCUGUUUUCCCAAUAAUUAUUGAGUCGGAUUCAAAGGAAGUGGUGGAUCUAUCCUUAAAGAAAAAGAUCAGCAAGACUGAAAUUGAGUGGAAAAUUGCAGAAAUCCAAGCAAAUCUGGAAAAUCAGAAUGUGUCCUCGCUGUCAUAUGUCCCUAGAAGCUGUAACUCUAUUGCUCAUUCUAUUGCAAAGAUAGCUCUAGGUUUUGAAAGUCAAGUCUUUUGGCUGGAAAACUUUCCAGAACAUAUCAGGUGUACUCUUGCUAAGUUCAUCAAUUGAAAAGCUUUACUUUGCUCAUCAAAAAAAAAAAAAAAAAAAAAACUCCAGUGGCUGCAUCCACUGGAAAAAGUGGAUGAGAACCAUUUUUUUUUCAUAAAGGUAACUACUCACAUAAUUGAUGGUGCUUAAAUCAAUUUUUUCUUUCUUUUUUUUUUAAUUUAAAGAAUUUUGCUUUAAAAAAUAAUUAAUAUCAAAAUGCCUUCAAUGUUGUUACCCUCACAAGCCCAGUUAGAGGACUCAUUAAAAAUUUUAGAAUUUUUAGGCCUGGAAAGCGUAGUAUUAAACAUCAGAAAGCAAAGGUUUUUAUGUCGAAGAAUUGAUGUCGACAAAAUUUUAUUUUAGUUUUCGGGAAAAAAAAUAAUUUGUUGACAAGCAAGAAAAUAUUUUUUAUACUUUACAAUCUGCUAUACAUAUUUUAUCAUAUUAAAGUAAUUUUAAUAAUAUAUGGAAACAUAAUAUUAUAAUAAAUAAAUUAAAAUUACUUUGAAUUAUUAAAUAUUACAAAAAGAUAAUUUUAAUAUUAUUAAUAGGAAAACAUUUUUUAAUUGUAAAAUCUUUUUAAUACAAAAAAUCAUUUAAAAUCUUUAUAAUAAAUACAAAUAUAAAAUUAAAAAAUAUCAUAAUUAAAAUUUUUAAUAAUAUUUAAAUAUUAAAAAUACUUUAAUAUUAUUAAUCUACUACAUAAAAUAUAUUAUUUGUAUUAUACUCGUAUUGAUUAAAACGUUUUAAAGUCAAAUUUUUAAUUAGUGUAUUCAAAGGUAUAAAAGAUUUUAGUAUUAUUUUUUAAAAAUUUCAGGAUAUGAAUGAUAAUUUUUUCAAAUUUUAAAGAUGUAAGAAUCUUUUUUUCUGAUAAUUUAUUUCACUUUUAAGAGAAUCCGAAAACGUUAAUUUAACAUUCUUUACCUUUGUAUAAAAAGUGAAAAUCAAGAACUAUUCAAUUUUGUUUUUAUUUGUAAUUCAAAAACGUUAUUCAUUUUCGAUGCUUUUCAAAAGAGAUUCCUUUAAAUCCUUUUGGUGGCUGCAGCUCCUGCAAUUUUCAUAAAUCUCCAUCCCACAUCAACACUAUCAAACAAGUUGAUGGAAAUUCUUAUCAAAAUUCCACAAAUAUGACGUUAUUGCUCAUUUUUCUCUCAAGACGCGUGCCUCCUGAAAAGAGAUACAUUGAAUAAGUCAAUUGAUUACAUUGUGGGUAAUUAAUUUAGAAGUGAAGCAGAGAAUAAAGUCCUAGAUGCCUUUAGAAAUUAGAAAUACAUUUUAUAUGCUUUAAUUAAUGAAUUCACUGAGGCAUUAUUGAUCCAAUCCCAGUGAAGUAAUUGUGGGUGAAAAAAAAAAAUAAAGUGCUGAAUUGGCUAUUAAAAAAGAGUGUCACUUGAUCACAAUCACAUUGAUCCACAACUCACUCGAGGCAAAUUUCAUCUAUGUGUACUGCAAAUUUAGCCAAACCAUGCAUGCAUGAACAAAAUUAGGCCGUAGUCCUCAUCACAACAUUAAUUGAAGCCACAAAAGCCAGCAAAUCCAAACGAAAACUUAAAAGGAAGUCUUUUAACUAUUGGAAACAUUAAUCAUUUUACAAUCUAUUACAUAAUAAAGAUAAAUUUUAUAAUAAGUUAAGUUAGAACUAGGGAAGGCAAAUUUUCCCGAUGGGAUGGGAUCCUGCGGGAUCCCAUCCCAUUUGGGACGGGAUUGAGACAUAUUUUUGUCCCAUAAAAAAAUUUAGGACGGAAUUGGGAUUUUUUUUAUCCCAAUUACAUAUGCGGGACAUGAGUGGGAUUGACAAAUUCCGUCCCAUCCCAUCUCAUUACCGAUUAAUAAUGGAAAUUUUUCCAAUUGGGAUGGGAUCCCGCGGGAUCCCAUCUCUUUUAGGACGGGAUUGGGACAUAUUUUUGUCCCAAAAAAAUAUAAGGACGGGAUUAUGACAUUUUUUCAUCCCAUUUGCAUAUACGGGAUGGGACUGGGAUUGGUAAAUCCCAUCCCAUCCCAUCCCAUUGCCAACCCUAGUUAAAACAUAUCAAAUAUUUUCAACAUAUAUAAUUAUUUAAGAAGUCUUUUAACAAUAUUUUUUUUUCUUUUUCAGUUAAUCAUGUCAUAUACCGUUAUCUAAAACGCUGGCGAUAUUAUUAUUCCUCACUUUUCUCAAAAAAAAAAAAGAAAAAAAAAAGAAACAUGAUUAACGUUUAGAGAAAAGUCAUGCCUUUUAAAAAGAAUAUGUAUACAAUAGCAAUCCAUACUUUAUAAAAUUGAUGGCGAUUACAAAGAAAAAUUGUUUAAAAUAGAUUUGAUGCACAAAUAUGAUGACUUUUGGCAAAAAUUAGUUUCGGAAAUGUUGAGAUGAAAACCAUAUUAAUUGAGAAUUAAAAUUAUUUAACUACCAUCUAAUAGAUGAAAACCAUAUCAAUUGGGACUUAAAUUAAAAUUUAAAUAUUGAAAUAUCUAGCAUUACUCACAAUAACCAAUUCAAAUUAUGACUAUCAUGUAGAAGCAAAUGUUUAUGCGUGGGUUUUUUACUUCUUGAAUUUGAUUGGAAAAAUUUCUAAGAUAGAGAAGUGUUUUGGAUAAGCUUUUCGGGAUUGAAACCACAAAUUGGUAGAGGAAAUUAAUUUUGGACAAAUUUUUCUUAUAUUGUAGGACCUUCUAGUUGGAGUAGUGAUGGCUUUGUCUUCAUUUUUGGUUCCUUUUGUGUCGGCAGCCCCUUACUAUUCUCUUGACCCUGAGUUUGAGAUAGAAAUUUAUCAACCUCCAACCCCACAUCCACAAACAAGUUGAUUGAAACAAUUGCUCUUUUAAUUAAGAGGACCCAAAUGAUUUAGGUUUCAGUUCUUAUCAUUUGUCUAUUAUUUCUUUGAAACAUUUAUUUUGAGCGUUACUGAUCUUAAUUAUCUGUAUUUCUCCAAUUAUUGAAGAAUUUCAAGUGGCCACUUUUUCUCCUUUUUAUAUAUGUUUAUUUUUUGGAGUGAUCAAACGGGUGCAAAAUCAAGUAUUCGCUGGUCCGUAGUUUAGCCAACUAUGGCUGAUCCACACAGUUGAUUAUAUGAUACUAUUAGCUCUCAAAAUCUUUCUUAUUUGAGAACAUAAAUUGCCCAUUAAAGUUAAACUAUGUUACCCAGCUCCAUGCACAUACAUUAAAUGUUUAGGUAGUUUUACAAAAUGAUAACAGCAUGCCAAAACUUGAUGUUGUCAUAUUCGACAUUUCAAAUUGAAAAAUACGCAAGCAAUCUUCAGUGAACAUUACGUGUUUAUUGAAUAAUUUAAAUGGCCAGUAAAUCAACAGUCCGUGAGUUUUAAAUCUAUUAUGACUUAAUGUAUCUUUCUGUAUUUGUACACAUAUUAUAUUAUCAUAGUUUAAAAUUUUAAUAUUAUUUUAAAUGUUAAAAAUACUUUAAUGCUAUUAGUCUACUACACAGGUUAUAUUAUUUAUAUUAUAUUUGUAUUAAUUAAAACUUUUAAUGUCAAUUUUCUAAUUACUAUAUUAAUAAAGUAUUAUGGUUAAGAAAAAGUUUUGGCAUUUCUUCUUGAAAAUUUGAGGGUCUGCAUGACAAUUUUUCCAUAUUCUAAGGGUAUAAGUUUGAAAAUUUAACAUUCUCUAAAUUGAUGAAACAAAAAGGGGAAACCAAGAACUAUUCAAUUUUGUAUUUUUUGUUUGUAAUUCAAAAAAUGCAUCCACCAAACAAGUUUUACGCAUUAAUGCUGUCAUAAAACGAAAAACAAUUUGCCAAAAAAGGGUACCAAACAUAUCCUUAAUGUCUCACAUGAUUUCUUAGUAAGCCCGUAUUAGAUAUAUUUAUACAUUUUAGGUAUUUUAGUUAUAAAAGAAGUUGGCCCUCCCUUGUUUAUAAAAAAUAACUUUAUUCAUGCACAUAUGCCAAAAGAAUAAAUAGACAGAAAGUAAAUUUACAGUCCUCACUUCCUCACAAUUGUUAACGUGAAGAUGCAUUACAACUGUGAACUGUCACUACUUUAGCCUUUUUUUUUAAAAAAAAAAAUUAUAGUGUGAUGGAGACAUUAAGGAUGAGCAUAACAGUUAAAGAUGACUCAUUUUCUUUUUAAAGUGCUCUGCUGAAAGCCGAACUUCCUUUGGCUAAUUAAUUUAGAAGUAAAGCAGAGAAUAAAGUCCUAGACGCCUUCUGAAAUAAGAAAUACAUUUUAUAUGCUUUAAUUAUGAUUAUUUGGUAGACUAAAGACCUAAAAGAUAUGUCAAAAGUAUAAAACAGAGCGAUUAAAGAAAAAAGAAAAAAAACAGAGUAUUUGUGACGUAGAAUAACAAUUGGUAAAUAAAUCCUAAAUAUUUGAGUUGUUAAAAGCAAAUAUAACAGAGACGGUAAGAGAGAUGCAGAAACAGAAAACUAUUAGCUUAUCUUGAUUUUUCCACUAUAUUCAUUUUCAAUGCUUUUCAAACGAGAUUCUUUUAAUUCUUCUGGUGUCUGCAGCCCCGGCUAUUCUUAUAAAUCUCCAUCCCACAUCUGCACUACGAACAAGUUGACUGAAAUUAAAUAAUGUUGGAGAUGAAGGGUGAGCCGUCAACUUGUUAAAAAAAAACUCAUGUAUAAUAUUAUCAAUAAUAUAAAAUAUAUAAUAAUUAUUACAAAGAAUCAUAAAUUAGAAAAAUUAAUUAUUUUACAAUCUAUUUCUUAAGUAAGGUGGCGUUUGUUUUUUCAUCUGAAAUCUGAAUAGACCUGAAUUAAUCUGAAUUCUGAAUAGAUCUGAAUGUCUGAAUCUGAAUAAUAUGUUUGUUUUUUUGUUUGAAUCUUGGAAAAUAAGUAUUAAGUUGUUUGUUUUUUUCAACUUAAAAAGCUGAAAAUAUGUACUUUUACAUUUAUAUCCUUAUUAAAUUUGAAUGUCAAAUAAAUAAUAAAUUAAAUACCACAAUAUUUUAACAUUUAUAAGUAAAACUAUAUUCAAGUGAAUACAUAAUUAUUUUGGAAUUUUAAUAGAUAAAAUACUAAAAAUUUUAAAUUUUAUCGUAUAUAAUAUAAGAAAGAAAAAAUAGGAAAAUUUUCAUGUGGGGUAAAUGUUUAUGGGUGAGUUUUGGGAUAGACAUGAAAAAUAAAUUAUAAAGCAGGGAUAUUUUUGAUAUUAGCAAGUAAUUGACUUAAUUCAGAUUUCUCCAUUAAGUAAAAAGCCAAAAGAAUUGGCUUAUUUUAUUAAGUCAAAAUUAUCUAAAAAGUCUCAUUAAGUUAUAAAAACAAACACCUCUAAUUAACUUAAUUAAUUAAGUUAAGUCACUUUAAGUCAUUAAGUUAAAAAACAAACGCCACCUAAGAUAAAUCUUGUAAUAAGUUAAGUUAUAACGUAAAAAAUAUUUUCAAUUUAUAAUCAUUUAAGAAGUCAUUUAAUAAUAAAAUCUUUUUUUUUUAUCAGUAGGCCAUGCUACAGAGUAUCAUCUAUAUUCGUGGUGAUAUUAUUAUUACUCAGUAUCCUCAAAAAACACGAUUUAACAUUUAGAGAAAAUUCCUGCCUUUUAAAAAGAACAUGUAUGCAAUAGCUAGCCAUACUUUAUUUUACCACGACAAAAUUGAUGGUGAUUAAAUCAAUUUUCUCAAUUAAAGCAAAAUUUUUUAAAAUUGAUUUAAUGCACAAAUAUGAUGAUUUUUUGUAAAAAUUAGUUUUGGAAAAUAUAGUGAGAGAAAAUGGUGACGAUUAUUUUUCAAAUGUGCAAAUAGCCUAAACAUAAUCUCUAAUACCAAUAUCCAUGUGCAUCUUAACACCUUUCAUGAUAUUCUUUCAUUCAUGGCCAUUUGUUCAAGAUUUGAAUUUGAUUAUUAAAUUAUGUUCAAUAAUGUUAGAGAUCCCAACAAUUGAGUACCAACUUAAAUCCCAAUGCUAUGUGUCAUUAACAAAUGUUGUGUCAUUUAUAAUUAUUGAAUGAAUAAUUCGUUAAUUUAUUGAUAAAUGAAAAUUUAUUAAUUUAAAGAGAGAUAUUUUUUUUUGGUUUUAAGAAGAGUUUUGUUGGUACAUGUACAUACUUAUAAAGAAAUAAACUUGUAAUUAUACUAUAUCUUUCUUUCUUUGUUCAGUUUGGUGGGAUAUUGUGAUAAAUCAUUGGAUUAAAAUGCAUUUCUAAAUUGAAACUUGUUAAAAUCUAAUUUAUUUGGGAAACACAUGUUAUUUGUCAGUCGUACUUCUCAACUUAGCAAGUUAUUUCUAACUUGUCAGUCUCUAUUGGUUCUCUUAAAGUUAAUAGUCUCGAAUCUCCCGCAUUUGAUAUCUUGCCAUUACUCUUGGCAUUAACAUGUUACCUGAGAUUGGGAUUCAUUAAAAUCCUCAAUGUAAUCGGUGGAACGAAUGGAUUUCUUCUGUUCACCAAUCCACCAAAAUUUCUGUAAUUAAAUUCAAAAGUCAAGAUCUAUGCUUAUAAUCUAUUCAACAGUUAAUAUUCUAUUUUAUAUUUACUUAAAUAUGAAGAGCUAUGCUUGUCAUUAACUUCAAAUGUGAUCGAAGCAGCCUUACAUCUGUAUAUUACUUAUUCCCAACCUUUUUUUUGACUUCAUAUACUUUCUUUUCAUGUUAUUUACUCUUUUUUCCCCCCUCUCUAAUGGGGUCAAACUUGAAAGUAUCUUAAAAUCAGACAAUAAUUUUUUUUUUAUGAUAGAUGCUAAUAUGCUCUAUUAGGCAAUGAUAAGUAAUAACCUAGUUGUUUGCAUUAGAAAUGAUAUUUUUUGUGGUGCUGAUAAAGUGGUUGAGUAUGAUUCAACAAUUUAAAAUAUGAAAACAUGUGGAAGACGGCUGCAAAUAAAUUGAUUGUAUGAAAAUAUUUCAAUGAAAUUUUAAAAAUUUAAUACUUGUUAUCUUAUCGAGAGUUCCCAAAUAAUUGGGCUAGUUUAAUUACCGGCCUAAUUAUUGUAGCCACUAUUGUAUGUUCCCAAAUGAUCCCCGGGUUAGCUCAUUUAAUUGACUGCACCACUACUGGACUAAUAAGUAAGAUAACUAGCUAUUUGGGUCAAAAGCCUAAAUAUAUCAUUUAGUGGGAGGCUCCAUUUAAUUAGCUUUUGUAUAAGGGGCCUUAUGUUAUUUUACAAGGUGGGUCCCCUAUUGAAAAAGAAAAUAACGUGAGUUUUAUUUAGGGCAUUAUUUGGAGCCUAGGGUUUUCACUAAAGGGAGAUAUAUAAGGCUUAUUUUCUCUAAAGAAAAAAGAAAAGCCACUUUAUACAGAUCAGAGAAUAAGAUUUUUCUCUCCAUUGUUGAGAGAAAAAUUUUCUCGUGCUAGUUGCUUUGGUAGUGAUAAAGGCGCCCACACGUCAAGUGCAGAUCGAACCUGAGUCAUAACCUGGAAGAUCAUUGGUGACAGUUCAUGAUCUAACAAGCGUGGUGGUGACGGUUCGUGAUCUAACAAGCGUGGUGGUGACGGAUCGUGAUAUAACAAGAGUGGUGGUGGCGGAUCGUGAUCUAGGAGCCUAAAUCACUUCAGCGGAAAAAGCCAACUCGGAUUUUCAAGGUACGAUUUCUAGAAUACGAAUUCUUAUAUAUUAUAUGAGAGCGAUCUUCAAAAGGUUUUAUAAAAAUUUAAAAGCAGCAUGUGCUGCUGGCAGCUCGCUGCUGCGUAUGUAGCAACUGCAGCGCGCGAGCAGCAGCUGCAGUGCCCAAGCAGCAGCGUGAACGUGGGCUGGAGGCGCAGAGCGUUCUGGUUGGCGUCUUUCCGGCGUCGAUGACGGCUGUCCGGUGUGGAAACAGUAAACAACGGCUGGGUUUUUGUGCUGGUGGCGGCUGGGGAAGAAGAGGAAAAGAAAAAUGUGAUUUUAGGGUUCCAUGGUUUUUAUCGUGGAGGUCCCUAUAGCUUCAUAUUUUUCAGUUGGGCAGAAACGUUUUUUAAUUUUUUGCAUUUAAGUCCAAAAACCGUUUUGGGCUUAAAGAAUCCUAGUUUUAGGCCCAAUUUCAAUUGGGCUUAAUGGAUUAAAAAAAUGCAUAGACAAAAUUAAAUACAUUAAAUUUAUUUUUGGUCCAAAAGUUUUAUUUUAAUAAAAAAAAUUAAUUAUUUAUUUAUUUCCUUUCAAAAUUAAAAUUGGACCAAUUAUAAAUUUAAAAGCCCAAUUUCCCCUAGUCCAUUAACAAAAACAAGCUUAUGGAAGAUGGACAUUGACAAGAAGCCCAAUGAAGAUUAGGCAUAGGGUUAAUGUAUUUUUCAUUAUUAGGAAAGGCAUGAAUUAAGAUUAUUUAAUUGUUUUUCUAUAUGUUAUGUUUUGGAUGAUAACAUGCCAUGAUAACAUGUAAUAUAGAAUAGGUAGUGCCACUCUAUGCAUAAUGAUACAUGUCAUUCAUUAAUUAUGAAUUUCAUUAUAUUGUUUGAAAUUUGCGCAUGCUUAAUAAUAUUUGAUAUCAUCUAGAUAAUAUUAUAGGAAGCAUGCAAUUAACAAUAUGUAUGUUUUAAAAAGGAAAAACCAAUUUUAAAAUAUUGAGUGGGAGAGGGAAAAUUCAAGAUAAUUUUCCCACGGGCUCCAUUGUUAGUUCAAUAAUAAAAUUAUAUAUAUACCUCGACUUCAUGAUACAGUGAUGCUCAUUACGGAGGGUAUAUAUAUUAGAUAGUUUAUUUGAUGAACUUCUUCAAAGAUAAAAUUGAAAUAUUUUUCAAUCGAUUGUUCACCCCAACGGUGACUAUUGAUAUGAAAAAUACGUAGAUUGAAACAAUGGUUAUACACUCAACUAAAGUUUGUUAUUAAUCUUCCCAACGAAGCUCUGUUAACAAAUUUAGGCCCAAAAAGAUAACGAUAAUUAUUUAUCAUGUCUCUACAUGAAAGUAAAUAAUCCAAUGGGUAAUUGGGUCUAGUAAGUAUAGACAUGACUUCCCCACCGGAUAGCUUGUCAAAGCAGUACUAGAUUAUCGUUACAAUAAAUUAAAAUGCAUUUAUGGUUUUUUGCAUUUUUUUCAUUUAUUGUGAAUAUUGAUUCAAAUUAUUUAUGCAUGGAUGUUUUUAUUUUUCAGAAAAUGUCUUCCCUGAGCCCACUUACUAUUAUUCUGAGUCAAAACAAACUCACUGGAGAGAACUAUAUAGAUUGGAAAAGAAAUCUAUUCAUUGUCCUGACUGCUGAAAAUUAUAAAUAUGUCUUAACCCAGCCAUGCCCCCCAGUUCCAGCGGAUGAUGCUCAUAGAAAUCAGAGGAGGCUUUAUGAGAAAUGGCAAAAGGCCAAUGAAAUGGCAAAGUGCUACAUUUUAGCCUCGAUUUCUAAUAUUCUGCAGACCAAACAUCAGAACUUGGAGACUGCCACUGAAAUAAUGAAUAGUCUCCAACAGAUGUUCGGGCAGAGUACUCGCUCUGCGAGACAAGCAGCGCUGAAAGGAAUUAUGAACAGUAAAAUGGGGAAGGGCACAAGAGUUCGUGAUCAUGUCCUCAAAAUGAUGGACUAUUUGAAUGAGGCUGAGAUUCAGGGAGCACAAAUCGAUGAUAACUCAAAGAUUGACAUGGUGCUAGAAUCUCUGCCAGAAACAUUCAAGGAGUUUAAGGUCAAUUAUAACAUGAACAAAAGAAAUAUGACCUUAACUGAAUUGAUGAAUGAACUCCAUUCUGCUGAAGAGAUCUAUCGUGCUGAGAAAUCUCUGGGAAGCAUAAAUUUUACUGAAAAAAGUUCAUCUUCUGGGCCUAAACCGAAAGGCAAAGGUAAGAAGAAAGCUGGGAAAAAAAGACCGUCUACCAAGCAAGAUGGCAAGCCGAAAGGCAAAUGCUUCAAGUGUGGACAGAAAGGUCACUGGAAAAAGGAUUGCCCUAAGAUUGUGAAAUCAGGUAUGGGAAAUCUUUUUUGUAAUUGAGGCCUGUUUAGUUCAGAAUCCUAUUGACACUUGGGUGUUGGAUUCAGGAGCAACUAAUCAUAUUUGUAAUUCACUUUAUUGGUUUCAGGAAACCAGGAAAAUAAGUGAAAGAAGCGUCAAGCUGCAGUUAGGGACAGGACAGUUCGUGUCAGCAGUAAAGACUGGAUCUGUUUUAUUAUCUUUUAAUAAUGAGACUUUAGUUUUGAAUAAUUGUCUUUAUGUUCUAGACAUUAAGAGGAAUUUAAUUUCAGUAGCUUGUUUGUCAAAGCAAGGGUACACUGUAAAUUUUGGAUCCUCUGUUUCUAUUUUUCAUAAUAAGAGACUUAUUUGUUCUGGUACAUUGGAAGAUAAUUUAUAUCAUUUAAGUCCAAUGAUCCAUUCUAUGCAUGACACAGUGAUAAAUAAUAAUGAGCAUACACAUUUAUCUAAGAAAAGAAAUAUUUCUUCCAACCAAUGUUACCUCUGGCAUUUAUGCUUGGGUCAUAUAAACCAAAAUAGGAUACAAAGAAUGAUCAAAGAUGGGCUCUUGGGUCCAUUAGAAAAUGAAUCAUUGCCACUCUGUGAAUCCUGUUUAGAAGGGAAAAUGACCAAAAGGCCAUUCUCGGCCAAAGGAGUACGUGCAACAGUACCACUUGAAUUGGUACAUACAGAUGUAUGUGGACCAAUCAAUGUACAAGCUCGAGGAGGUUAUGAGUAUUUCAUCACUUUUACUAAUGAUUACUCAAGAUACGGUUAUGUUUAUCUGAUGCGUCAUAAGUCUGAAGCUCUUGAGAAAUUCAAAGAGUAUAGGGCUGAGACAGAAAAGCAAUUAGAUAAGAACAUAAAGAAACUUCGAUCUGAUCGAGGUGGUGAAUUUCUCUCAGGAGAUUUCAAAGAGUAUCUGGUUGAAAAUGGGAUUAUAUCUCAAUUGACUGCCUCGGGAACACCACAACAAAAUGGGGUAGCUGAAAGAAGAAAUAGAACUCUUUUGGAUAUGGUGAGAUCUAUGCUUAGUUAUUCUUCAUUACCAAUCUCUUUUUGGGGACUAGCACUGGAAACUGCAGUUUACCUUUUGAACUUAGUUCCAUCUAAGUCAGUGCCUAAAACCCCAAUAGAAUUAUGGUCAGGUCGCAAACCAAGUUUACGACAUGUCCGUAUUUGGGGAUCACCAGCACAUGUGCUGAAACCAAAGGCAGACAAAAUGGAUUCACGUUCUGAGGUUUGUAUGUUUGUGGGGUAUCCCAAAGGAACAAGGGGAGGUUUAUUUUAUAGUCCUCAAGAUAGGAAAGUGAUCGUGAGCACACAUUUCACUUCCCUUGAGGAAGACUAUAUGAAUAACUUCAAACCUAAGAGUAAGGUAAUACUUGAAGAGCUGUCAGGUGAUCAGGUUGAUGCUCAGCUUUCAACGCCUGUUACAGAACAGGAAGAACAGCAACAACCAGAUGAUCAACACAGGAUUAACCCUGAACAACCAUCACUUUUAUAACCUCGUCGUAGUGGGAGGGUAACUAGGUUACCUGCGAGAUACAUGUUUUUGGGAGAAAUCUAUACGGCUAUCUCAGAUGAACAUGUACAAGAUCCCACUAGUUACAACGAAGCUCUAAUAGAUAGAGAUGUUGAAUUUUGGAAAAAGGCCAUGAAUCAAGAAAUGGAUUCUAUGUAUUCCAAUAAAGUCUGGGAACUUGUAGAGGCACCAAAUGGGAUAAAACCUAUAGGGUGCAAGUGGAUCUACAAGAGAAAAAGAGGAGUAGACGGAAGGGUGGAAACAUUUAAAGCAAGAUUAGUAGCCAAAGGGUUUACUCAGAAAGAGGGAAUUGAUUAUGAGGAAACUUUUUCUCCGGUUGCUAUGCUUAAAUCCAUCAGGAUUCUGCUCUCCAUUGCUGUAAUGCUAGAUUAUGAAAUUUGGCAAAUGGAUGUCAAGACUGCCUUUCUUAACGGGCAUCUUGAAGAAAACAUCUACAUGCAGCAACCAGAUGGAUUUAUACAAAAAGGCCAAGAACACAUGGUAUGUAAGUUGCAGAAAUCCAUUUAUGGAUUGAAACAAGCAUCCCGGUCAUGGAACAUCAGAUUUGAUCAAGCGAUUAAAUCGUUUGGAUUCAUUCAGAACAUUGAUGAACCAUGUGUGUACAAGAAAAUUCAAGAAAAAUCUGUAGCCUUCCUAAUUUUUUAUGUAGACGAUAUUCUCCUAAUUGGAAACGAUAUAGGAGUAUUGACUACAAUAAAGAGUUGGUUAGCAAAACAAUUUGAUAUGAAAGACCUGGGAGAGGCAAGUUAUAUUCUUGGUAUCAAAUUACUACGAGACCAGAAGAAUAAAACUUUAGCCUUGUCUCAAGCGGUCUAUAUCGAUAAGAUAUUGGCUAGAUUUAGCAUGGAAAAUUCCAAGACUGGUUUAUUACCAUUCAGACAUGGAAUUACAUUCUCUAAGGAUCAAUCACCUAAAACAUCUGAAGAGAUAGAGAGAAUGAGACGAGUUCCCUAUGCAGAAGCUGUGGGAAGUCUUAUGUAUGCCAUGCUUUGCACUAGGCCAGACAUCUGUUUUGCGGUAGGGAUGGUUAGUAGAUAUCAAUCUAAUCCUGGACCUGAACACUGGACUGCGGUCAAGCAUAUAAUGAAGUAUCUGAAAAGAACUAAAAAUUAUAUGCUUGUGUAUUCUGGUGAUGAACUCAUUCCAGUGGGUUAUACUGAUUCUGACUUUAUGUCAGAUAAGGAUUCCAGAAAAUCAACUUCCGGCUAUGUGUUUACAUUGGGAAGUGGAACUAUUAGUUGGAGGAGUGUGAAACAAUCUUGUAUCGCAGACUCCACAACUGAAGCUGAAUAUGUGGCUGCAUCCGAAACUGCAAAAGAAGCUGUAUGGCUCCGCAAGUUCCUACAAGAUCUUGAGGUGGUACCUGCUGUAACUGCACCCCUUAAACUAUUUUGCGAUAAUAGUGGUGCGGUAGCUAAAUCUAAGGAACCACAAGAAACAAAAACAUAUUGAGAGGAAGUAUCAUCUUAUAAGGGAUAUAGUGCAGAGAGGUGAUGUGGAGGUUACUCAGAUUGCGUCACAGCAAAACUUGGCAGAUCCUUUUACUAAGGCCAUACCUGGGAAACCUUUUAACUUGCACUUGGAAUCCAUGGGCAUGCGUGAGAUGCCAAAUAUGCUUUGAGAGCUAGUGGGAGAUUGUUGGGAAAAUAUGCCCUUUAAAAGCAUAUGUGUUUAUUUAAUUGUAAUAAACAAUUUUUCUGAUUAAUAAAAUAAAUGAGGUAUUUUAUUCAAAUAUCUUAAUUGCAUUAAUAUUUGUAUUAAAGUCCAUUUAAUCAUAUUAUAUGUAUUUAUGUGAUCACCAUGUGGAUUCACAGAAGACAUAAAUACAAGUUAUCUUAUGAUUAAAUAAAUUUAGUUCGCAGUUGAUAAAUAAAGUUGGGCACUUUAUUUAGGUAUAGACUGUAAUAAAUUCAUUGAAUGAUUUGUCUUAAUCAUGUAUGAAUUUAUUGAUGUAGUACGACUACAUUAAACAGGAUCACAUGUGAGAUUUAAUUAACUUUGUAAUAACUGUCAGACUUAUUAAAUCUUAUAGGCAUUGAUUUUACUGUAAUCUUAAUCUUGAGUUAAUUAUGAUUUCAUGAUUGUAAUUGUUAUUCCAUUUGAGUUACCAAUGGGCACGACACAUCCUUGUGGUCAAGAUUACCCGGUAUCUUGGUGGGAGCAAUUAUGAGUAUUGGAGUUAUGGAUUAACAAUAUAGAAUUUGUACAACACAUCUCUCGAUAGGUUUUCGGCACUUGAUCAUAGAAUUCUUUGGCCAGAGUGUGUCAACAUAUUUAGUAUGUUGAAAAUGAUCAUUAGAGAAAACCAGUAAGGAUCAAGGAAUAAGAUGUUAUUAAAUUGAUUGGACAGUUGAGAUAUCAAUUUAAUUAACGAUGUGGUACAAAGGAUUGUGCAGUAAAGAAAUCAAUGUGGCUUGGGACGAAUUAUUAUUCGAGCAUACAAUUAUGGAAGUCAGUUCCAAUCUUUUAGUGGAGUAGAUUUGGAAUUAAAUAAUUGGGCUAGUUUAAUUACAGGCCUAAUUAUUGUAGCCACUAUUGUAUGUUCCCAAAUGAUCCCCGGGUUAGCUCAUUUAAUUGACUGCACCACUACUGGACUAAUAAGUAAGAUAACUAGCUAUUUGGGUCAAAAGCCUAAAUAUAUCAUUUAGUGGGAGGCUCCAUUUAAUUAGCUUUUGUAUAAGGGGCCUUAUGUUAUUUUACAAGGUGGGUCCCCUAUUGAAAAAGAAAAUAAUGUGAGUUUUAUUUAGGGCAUUAUUUGGAGCCUAGGGUUUUCACUAAAGAGAGAUAUAUAAGGCUUAUUUUCUCUAAAGAAAAAAGAAAAGCCACUUUAUACAGAUCAGAGAAUAAGAUUUUUCUCUCCAUUGUUGAGAGAAAAAUUUUCUCGUGCUAGUUGCUUUGGUAGUGAUAAAGGCACCCACACGUCAAGUGCAGAUCAAACCUGAGUCAUAACCUGGAAGAUCAUUGGUGACAGUUCAUGAUCUAACAAGCGUGGUGGUGACGGUUCGUGAUCUAACAAGCGUGGUGGUGACGGAUCGUGAUCUAACAAGAGUGGUGGUGGCGGAUCGUGAUCUAGGAGCCUAAAUCACUUCAGCGAAAAAAGCCAACUCGGAUUUUCAAGGUACGAUUUCUAGAAUACGAAUUCUUAUAUAUUAUAUGAGAGCGAUCUUCAAAACGUUUUAUAAAAAUUUAAAAACCGAAUUUUUUCACCAACACUAUGUAGCUAGAUGGCAUUUCUAGUGUUUCAAGGUUUAAAAGGGUGCAUAGCAGUGAAGGAAGGCAUUUGACCGAAGGGAUAUUCAAUUUCAAAUACUUCAAAAGAUAUAAAUUUUCUAAUCCGGGCGGAUAUUGGUCCAGGACUGCAAAACCCAAAUUCAAUACCUGAAGGUGUUUGAACUUUUUACAAAAAUUCUCGCAAUCUAUCAGAGCGAGACGAUCGCUUUCUGAACUGUGAUUCAGAAAAGAUUGGAGACGCAUGUCAGAAUAUUCUAAAGGAAAGAAGUCAAUCAGGCGUUCCACAAUGAAGCACCGUUUAACAUUUGCCACUGAUUCUUCUUCCAUUUCAGGCGUCAAGACAAAUCCCGUCUUCUUUGCCACAAAAUACAAUGAAGUAAAUUCAAGACUUGGAACAUAACACGCUUUAAUUGUGCCGCCGGCGCUUCUCUUACUCACUUGAAUGAAGCCGCGAUGGAUUAGUUCUUUCAAGUAAUGUUCGGCAGUUUCUUCAUCGUUGUAUGGUAUGAAACCUUCAGCUACCCACAACUGAUAUAAUUGCCUCGUGGACAUCUCAAUACUUGGAGGGAAGACACACAAAUAGAUGCAGCAGACUUUCAAGUGAAAAGGUAACUCCAUCACAGAAAAAAUUUAUCUCCAAACUGUCGGAAUCGCUUCGCCUUGAACAUAAUUUUCUAAUGGCAUACUUCCAUAGUGUAGGAUGAAAAAUUGCCAGGCUUCAUGCUUUAAUCUGAUCAAUGGUCCUCCAAAGAGCACUGAAUCACGCCGAAUCUUCUCUCCAUUUUCCAUUUCCAACGACGCAAGGAGGUGUGGAUCACUGACCAACAUCAAUACUCUGCUUCCAUUCUGAUUAUCAGGAAGAACUUUUUCAAGAUCACUCCAUAUCUUACUGUCAUCGAAGACAUCAUCAAGCACAAUAAAGUACUUCUUGUUUGUUAGGUAAUCUCGAAGAAUAGAUUUCUUCAAUUGAUAAUCUUCCCCGAUAAUUACACUAACCCGAGCUGGAGGCAUCACAGACUUGAUUAUGCCAUCCAAUAUCUUGCCAAAAUCGUAGGUUAUCGAAACCCUGACCCAAGCAAGACAGUCAAAAUAGAACUUGACGUGAUCAUUAUUGUAAGUAUCUGCAGCAAAAGCAGUCUUAUCGAAGCCACUGCUGUCGAGAAUUGCAACCACUGCAAGCCCAGAUGGUCCCUCAAUCAAUAGAUCAAACAACUCCUCCCUGCCCCUUUGAAAUUCAUUGAUAUCGAGCCGAGGUUGUCCCUCAUUCAAUAGGCGAAUGAUUUCGUUACUUUUCUCACUGAUAUCAAAACCAUUGUCGCCGGGUGGAAGUUGUUGCAUCCGAUUUCUAAUAUCAAUGAUUUUAGUGUGGAGUCCAACAAGAAGAGCCAUAUCAGUACUGCUUUCACUUUCGUUUUCACUGUUUUGCUGCUGCAUGAUGUUGAUGAAGAAUCUGUCAAUGGCUUCCUCAGAUUCAUGGACAAAGUCAUUGAUGUCCUCCAGAAUUUCCAAAAUAUCUGCUCUUUCAACAUCUUCUUCAUCGCUUUCUUCUAAGUCCAACAGUUCAUCGAAAUCUUCUCUAAGGAGUUGAAACAAAUGCCGAGCCAUGUCAACUUCAUAUUUUCCCAGCAGAGUAGUAGCAAUAAUUUCGGACUCCGUAAGAAGGUUUUGAAAAAGUGGAGUUAAAUUUGUUGAAUCUGGCAGCGGCAACGUGCCUUCUUCACCUGCUAACACCCUUUUCAACCUCUCACGAAAUAGUCGGAGGUGGACGUCCAGCAUAUCUCCUUCUCUCUGUAUCACCCAGAGGUAUAGUUGAAAGAUUAAACACCAUGGAAGAAUUUGAAAGGAAAAUGCCAAGAAACUGUGUAAGUGGCUAAACCAUGAAAAAUUGAUCAUUUUUUUGCAUUGUAAGUUGCGCGUUCAUUUAGAGAAAAGUCCAAGACGCGUGCCUUUUGCAAAGAACAGGUAUCCCAAUCGGUAUCCAACCUUUAUCUUAUUUAAUUACUACCAUGACAUAAUUGAUGGUGCUUAAAUCAAUUGUUUCUUUUUUAAUUUAAAGAAUUUUUCAUUAAAAAAAUAUUUUAAUAUCAAAUUGCCUUCAGUGGCGUAACAACUGCCUCAAGCCCAGUAACAGGACUAAUUAAAAAUUUUACAAUUUUGGGGCAUGGAAAUAGUAGUAUUAAACAUUAGAAAGGUAAGGUUGUUCUGUUAAAGAAUUGAUAUUGACAUAAUUUUAUUUUGGUUUUCGUGGAAAAAAAAAAUUUGUUGACAAGCAAGAAAAUAUUUUAUCAUAUAAAAGUAAUUUUAAAAAUAAAUAGAAACAUAAUAUUACAAUAAAUAAAUUAAAGUUUAAAUUAUUUGGAAUAUUAUAAAAAAUAAUGUUAAUAUUAUUAAUAGGAAGACAUUUUGUUAAUUUUAAAAUCUUUUUAAUCCAAAGGUUUAUUUAAAAUCUCUAUAAUAAAUACAAAUAUAAGAUUAAAAUAAAAAUCAUAAUUUGAAAUUUUUAAUAUUAUUUUAAAUGUUAAAUAUACUUUAAUGUUAUUAGCCUACUACGUAGAUUUUAUUAUUUAUAUUAUAUUCGUAUUGAUUAAAAUUUUUUAAAGUCAAUUUUUUAGUUAGUACAUUCAAGAGGUAUUAUAGUUAAAGAAAAGAUUUUGGUGCAACUGUUUUAAAAUUUCAGCGUCUAAAUGAUAAUUUUUUUAAAAUUUAAGGAAGUAGGUAUUAUUUUUCCAACAAUUAUUUUACUUUUGAGGGAAAUCCGAUAAGAAAUAUCAUCAAAGAACAUUAAUUUAACAUUCUUUACCUUUAUGAAAAAAGUGAAAACCAAGAACUAUUCAAUUUUGUAUUUUUUGUUUGUAAUUCAAAAAAUGCAUCCACCAAACAUGCUUAUCUUGAUUUUCCCACUUUAUUCAUUUUCGAUGCUUUUCAAAAGAGGUUCCUUUACUGGUCAUUGUCUACACUAUCAAACAAGUUGAUGGAAAUUGAACCCAUUAAGUUAUGUUCAUUACUGGUCAUUGUCUUUCUAUGAGCCACUUAUUUGGAGCAUUAGCGAUCUUAUAAGGAAUCAUGCCUUUUCAGGAUCGUUUUCUUUCAUUUCCCUAUUGUAGUAGUUAAUUAAAUAAAGAACGAACAGCUGAACUUGGUCUAUUUCGAGGAAGACCAAGGCUUCCAAUACUAGAGGAACUUUGAAGAAAAUUAAUUGGAAACCUUUAUUCAUCUUUGAAGAAAAUUACGUGCCAAUGUAACGAAGGCUUUUAUUCAUCUUCGGACUAUGAAUUUGUACAAAAACAUUAACAGAAAAUAAUAAAGACACAGCUAAAUGAUAGCAGCAAGUGCUGAUUUAGUGAACCACUUCUACAAGUAAAUAAAAACUAAAUAUUUAUUUUGACUAUAACAACAACUACCCUCUUGAAUAGGACUCUACAGCAGCCACAUGACAACUAAUUUCUCCAUAAUAUUAUUAUUAGUAGAAGUAGAUUUUCAAAAUUGUCUUGAUAUAUUUCAAAGUUGUAUUAUCAGCGUAUAUGUAUCUAGAUUGUAACUAUAUUUUAAAAAAUAUAAAAAUUUUAAUUAUUGCACAGUAAUGUAGAACAAUAUCUACAAAAUAAUAUUGUUAGGACUAAGAAAAAAUAUUAUUUUAGAUAAGUUAUUUAUUUAUUAUUGAAUGAAAAAUUUAUCAUGAUAAAUGAAUAUUUAUUAAUUUAAAGAGAGAUUUUUUUUGGUUUUAAGAAGAGUUUGUUUGGUACAUGCACACACUAAUAAAGAAACACAAAAAGUGCUUCCUCAAGUCAAUAGUAUUUGCUUUAAUUGCUAAGGUGCAUAAUAACGUAGCUUAGUUAGGAAAUUUGUAAUUAUAUUAUGGCUCCGUUUGGUAUAAUUUUUUAACUAGAACUUAUUUAAGGAGGGCUUUUAUUAGUAGAGUUUUUAUAAAUAGAGAUUUAACAAAAAAAAUUAUAGUUAUUUAGUUGUCAAUGUACAAAUUGAUGAAUUAUUGUUCUUUUUGUUAACAUGUGUUUGUUUUACUUAAUAAUAAAAGUUUAGUUUACAACAUUGAAGUUCAGCAGAGCAUUUUUGCAGCCAGUCACAUUAUACAUUAUACUAAUAGCAUCGGCAAGAGUUUUCGAUUGUUGCAACUUGCAAUGCACACGAUGCGAGAAAAUGAGAAUCUUGUUUAAUUGCAAUAUUGACAAACCUAAUCCUUUCGUAGGGAGUAAUUUAAUAAUCGUUCGUUAGUUGAAGCGUUAAUUUAAUAAGCGUUGAUUUCCCUUCGAUAACUCGAAGUCCACGACGAUUCUUCUUCUUCUCUGCUGCUCAUUACGCUUCUACCCAAACCCUAGGAUUCAAACCUUUGCUUAGGAGAGAAUCAAAGCGAUUGGUGUUGGAGGUGAUUGAGGCUCUUAGAAGCUUAGAGGUGUGUUAAUUCAAAUUCUUUUGUCGAGAUAAGUAAUUUCAUUCCUAAUAUACUGGAUAUGUAUAAGUAUUUUGAUGUUAUUAUAAGAGUUUUUAUACUUCUUAGAAGAUUAAUAGAUUUUCAUACCAAAAUUAGUUUAUGAAAAUGUUUUCAAAUCUGAAUUCUUUUGAUAAAAUAUUUUACAAAUGCGUUUUAAUAUGUAAAUUAUUUUAUGACAUGACUGCCUUUUAUGAUUUUGUCUAUGAAAUAUUUUUGCAAGCCUAAAUUGUUGCUAUAGACUUUCAUGAAUCUAAUAUGAAUGUUUUGUGCCUAUGUAUGAUUUUAAUUAUUUAUGACUGUACGGGGGCCACCUCUUGAGAUUAUAUGGGGGCCACCUCUUGAGGGCCAAAGCGCCGCAAAGUGCCACAUAGAGUGCAAAGUGCCAUGUAUAAGUCAUUAUGUUUUGGCUCAUUGUCCGUAGUUAUUCUGAUUCUAAUUCUGAUCGUAUUAUACGAUAUAUUUGUUCUGGACUAGUACUAGGUUUAUGUUCUAAGUGUGCACACGAUAUUCUGAUUCUGUUUCUGGUCAGGUCACCGAGACUAUAGGUGAUACUAUGUGACAUGAGCUAACUAUCUGCUUUCUGUGUACACUUUAUACGAUUUGCUUUCAUAAUUGAUUAUUCUUUUGAUACUCUGAAUUACCAUGAAUUUAUGUUAUAUAAUUGAAAUAUGUUGUUUUAUGAAGUUUAUGACUUAUAAUAUAUGUUUUUGAAUAAAAGAAGGCUUGCAAUAUUUUUGAUAUCGAUAGGCCUAGUGUAUUAGGAAUGAUUUUACCUACCGAGUUGACAGCCCACCCCUCGUUAUUACUUUUUGCAGAUUAAGUUCCUUUUAAGAGGUAUGCGUAGCUUUGGAGUUAGAGAUUUCGUUUCCGUUUGCUAUUUGAAUAAGAAGAGGAAUAGACUCAUGUUUCUUUUUAGUUUAUUUCUGUUAUGAGCUUGUAAUUUGGAGUUUGAGACUUUUGUUAUUGUUAUGUUUUGGAAGAGAUUAUUUAGUGUUAGACGUAUUAAUUUGCGGAUUUAUUUGAAUAAGAAUUUGAGGUAUUUGAGCUUGGAAUUUAUAAGUAAGGAUUACGAUUUGUAAGUAACCUCAUUCUUCAUGUGCUCCGCACGUGUUAGAUUUGGGGUGUUAUAUGUUUCGUAUAACUUUUCAAGUAGAGCUUAUUUAAAUAGAAUAUUCGUCAAUAAAGCUUCUAUAAAUAUAGAUUUUACUAAAAAAAAUUUAGUUGUUUGGUUGUCAAUGUCCAAAUUGACGAACUUUUGUUCCUUUGCUAACAUGUAUUUGUUUUACUUAAUAAUAGAAGUUUAGCUUACAAUUACACCGGCGUCAAAUCAACAGAGCAUUUUGGCAGCCAGUCACAUUAUACAUUAUACUAAUAGCAUCGGCAAGAGUUUUCGGUUGUUGCAACUUGCAAUGCACGCGAUGAGAGAAAAUGAGAAUCUUUUCUAAUUGCAAUAAUGACAAACCUAAUCCUUUCGUUGGGAGUAAUUUAAUAAUCGUUUGUUAUAAUUGAAUAUGUAUAAAGAAAGGAAAAUUCUAUUCAUAGAUUUCGACUUAUUUUUUGUUUAAAGUAAUUAAUCAUUCAACCAUCUUCAUUUGCCUCUGGCCAGUGCCCUUGUAGAUUAGUUGAAGCGUUAAUUAAUUCAGAUAAUUACAACGUCCUUUUCGCUAAUUAAUUAUGAUUAUAUAUGUUUCAUAUAGCAAGUGGCUUUGUAGAUCUAAACCAAGUUGCUAUUUCAAAACGUUAAUUAAGUGAUUCUCCUCAUUGUCAUCAGCGUUAUACGCUCUAGGAAAAUAGCUCAAUUGUUUCCCUGCAUUGACUUUCAUUGGUAAGUGAUUUCUUAUGAAAUUCUUUUGAGCUUUCCUUAUUAAAAAAGCUUGAGCUUUUAUCACCUAAUGCGGAUAUCAAUUAACUUGUGAAUGAUUUUGCAAUGAAACUAGGAGUUAAAUAAGAUUUUUACAUGAUGAAUUUUUAUUUUUUUAAUUUUUUGAUGUAGUCAAUUUGCUAAUUUUAUGUAUUUCAUAUUCAACGGAAUUUGGGCACGGAAAGUUUGGAUUCUAAUAUUUAUAUGUUUAGCUUUAAUCAGUUUGACUUUCGUAAUCUUUUUCCCCUCAUCAUUAAGGGAUUCAGAAUUAGAGAAACGUUAGGAAGAGGAAGAAAAUAAUUUCGGAAAUAAGUAAGAGGGAAAAAAUUAUUAAAUUAGGAAUGAUUUUUUGUAGAGUAUGUUCCGUUUACUAAACUGAAAUCGAAAUGAGCUGGAAUCAGAAUGGAUAGAAAUGCGAAUGCGCUGGAAUGAGAAUAAGUAAUGAGAAUCAGAAUAAGUUGUUUACUUGAAUUGUAAGAAUCGAAAUCGAAAUGAGCUGGAUUGCAAUUACUUUGUCCUACAAUUAGAAUCGGAAUGAGUUAGAUUGUAACAAAUUACUAAAAGGUACUUAAUGAAUUAUUGUCAUAAUAUUAUUUUAUAUUUUAAUUAUAGUGAUUAUUUAUUCUAAAAUUAUUAUUAUUAAUUAUUUUCAAUAAUAUGUUAAUAUGUUAAUUAAUUUUAAAAAUUAUUAAUUAAUUUAUUAUAAUAAUAUACUAAUUAAUUAUAAUAAUUAUUAUAAAAAUAUAUUAAUUAUUAAUAAUGAAAUUACUUAUUUAAUUAUAAUAAUAUAUUAAUUAUUGUGAUUAUUUAUUCAAAAAUUAUAAUUAUUAAUAAUUAUUGUUAAUAAUGUAUCAAUAUAUUUUAUAUUAUGAAAUUGUGAUGUAUUGUAGACAAAUAAGGAAUUUGGUACAAUAAAUUCUUAAUAUCUUAGUACAAAGUAUGGUAAAAUGGUAUUUUAACUUAUUGUAGACAGAUUAAAUUUCGACACACUUAAUCCAUGAUAAAAUUAAUGGAAAAUAAUGAUAAUUUAUACAAUUAAUCUUUUGAGCAAUAAAAAAAUAAAAGAAAAAGAAGUUACUAAAUUAUGUUUACUGCUAAGAGUGAAUCCACAAUCCUAAAUAAUUAUUUCCAUCGUUUCACUUAAAUUAAAUAGUGUGAAUUUAAAUUCUAAUUUUUUGAUAAAUUAAAAAGAAAUAAAAAAUUAAAAUUUUUCUCUAUGGAUCGACCUCGGAUUGAUCAAUUUAUUUCAUAACAACACACUUUUAUACUUGAGAGUUAUAAAUCACUUUGAAGUUGUGUUAAGUUUUUGACGCUCUUACGGGGAAAAAAUAUUUAUUUUAUUUUAUGUAUGGGUCAAACUUGAAAGUAUAUUUUAAGAUAACUGCUAAUAUGCUCUAUUAGACAAUGAUAACCUAGUUGUUUGUGGUGUUCAUAAUGAGUUUAAUUAUGAUUAAACAAUUUAAAAUAUGAAAAAAUAUGGAAGAUGGCCGUAAUUAAAUUGAUUGCAUGAAAAUAUUUCAAUGAAAUUUUAAAAAUUUGGUACUUAUUAUCUUAUCAAAAGAUUUUUAAAUUAUAUUACUACUUCAACUUAACUCCUCCUGGAUUGAUUGUAUUGAAUUUCCAGCACUGCCAUUGCUUCUACUUGAAAGCCAUUUAAGUUUGUGUAAGCUACCUAUAGUUUGAAUAACAAUUUACUCAUGAAUUGCCGUUCAUGAUAACAAUUUGAUUGAAAGUGCGGCUCCACUAAUUGUCUAGAUGAUUUUUUCCCACAUGUUUGUUCUCGUACGACCCCAGAAUGCUGUUAUAUCAGUUGUAUUGGAAAUUAAUCAACUGGUUACAACUCUACACCCCAUCAAUAUUUAAGCAGUCUACAGAACAUUAAUUGUGUUUUGAAAUUUUAAUGAGUCUCACGUGUUUUUCACGUGAUAUGCAGUAAAAACAAAAUUAAAAAAAUGUGAACAUUCAGCCCCAAAAUCCCCAACUCCUUCCAAAUUGGUUCCGCAGCCCCCAAAUCCCUUAAACCCAAAUCACUCUAAAAAGACUCUCCUCAGCCAAAAAGAAAAAGGUCACCUCACCUCUCCUCUUCUUCUUCCAUGGCGAUCAACGGCGGCACAAGCACGGGCUGAUCUCCUUCGUCGGUAACGAUCAACGGCGGUACAAGCAUGGGCAGAUCUUUUUUUGGCAAUGAUCAACAGCGGCACAAGCACAGUCGUCCUCAGGUACGGAUUUGAUGUUGGUUGUGUUGUCAAGUAGCGAUUCAUGUUUGGAAGAGAAUCCGCUCGCAAGGACCUGGAGCACUUAAUCGAAGAUCUUAAGCGAGGAAUUCGCUUCCUCCUCAUUCCUAAUCGGUGCCUGGUUCAUCAGUAUGAUUAAGGAUGAAAAUUGAGAAAGAAGGACGCAUUAGGUUUGAGACAUUGGUUGAAAAGCGCUACCCCGGUGGCCACGCUGGAAACAUAUGUUCCGUGGCUUCUUGCGUUGUCUGUGAGGAAUAUGUACUGCUGUAGAAGAUAAUUAUGAAUCAAUGGUAAUUGGCGUGUUGGUUUUGGUGCCGAUUUCCUCUUAUUUUCCAGAAAAGGCUUGUAAUUUGUUCACCUCAAGAUUCAAUUUGUUAUUGAAAAUGGAUGGCUGUAAAGACCUACUGGCCUUUCAUUAUAUUAAUGUUUUUGACAGUAAGUUUGUAAUAGUUAGUGCAGGGAACUUAUUGAUUCUUGAUUAUAUAUAACGGUGGCCCUUAUUACUUUAAAAAAAAAAAAAAAAUUGAUGAUGGGUUUCGUUUUGUAUAAGUGUUUGGAGUGUUGGAAAAUGAACAUUGUAUAUUUUAGAUAGUUGAGUUCCAUAGUAGUGAAAAGCUACGGAUUUGUUUUCUUUGUAUUGAAAUGUGUUUUGACCAUUAUAUGUUGUUUGAUUGGUGAUAGUUUUAUGUUUGUCAGUUCCAGUAGUCUCUUAAUCGCCAUCUGGCAUGGAAACUCACUGUGAAUAUGUGAAGAAUGCAGUGAUCAUAAGGAGUAAAUGAACGAUCAAACAUGCUAAAAUUAAAUACCAAAAAAUAAAAUAAAAUAAAAUAAAAUUGGAACUGGAAGAGUAAAUAGCAAAAGAUUGGGCGAAAAUUGAAUACCAUAACAAAAAAAAAAUUAAAAUAAAUUCAAACGACAAGAGCUAAUUAAGAGCAAAAAGAUGCUUGACUUACCAAGAGCAAGGACCAAGCAAAUGGUUUUACAUUCGGGCUUGAUGGUGAACUGGUUGGAGAUGGGUACGAAUGUGAUCUCGUUGAGAUUUGGAGAAGAGAACGGGGGAAUGGCCACAAUAUCUUUGUUACUUUUUUUUUUAAACUUUAUUUUACUGUUGAUCACAUGAAAAUCACGUGCAAGUCAUUAAAAUUUCUAAACACAGUUACUGCUGUCGUUUCGAUGUUCUCGGGCUAUCACAUGCUCGGUACGUCUAUCACUACUCGUCAAAAAAAAUGACACGCGUUCAUUUCCAAGACGCGUGCCUUACUACCAUGACAUGAUUGAUGGCGCUUAAAUCAAUUGGUUUUUUUUUUUAAUUUAAAGAAUUUUUCAUUAAAAAAAUAUUUUAAUAUCAAAUUGCCUUCAAUGGCAUAACUGCCACAAGCCCAGUAACAGGACUAAGGGUACGUUUGAGAUUGAGGUUGGGCAGCUGUACCUUUUAAGCUACAACACUAAAGUGCUUGGUAAACACUAGCUGCUCUAGGUUGGAAGCUAUAUUAAUAUGAUUUUUCACUUGUAUAAUAGAAAAUAUAUUAUAUCUUUAAUAAUUUUGUCAAAUUUAUAUUUACUACAUAUUAUUAAUUUUUGUUUUAUAGUCACAGCUUUUUUUCCACAGCACCUGUAGCUUAAAAGAUACAGCACCUCAAUCCCAAACGCAUCCUAAUUAAAAAUUUUAGAAUUUUUGGGCAUGGAAUUGAAAAGAGUAGUAUUAAACAUCAGAAAGCUAAGGUUGUUCUGUUAAAGAAUUGAUAUUGACAUAAUUUUAUUUUGGUUUUUGGGGAAAAAAAAUUUGUUGACAAGCAAGAAAAUAUUUUUAUAUUUUACAAUUUAUUAUACAUAUUUUAUCGUAUUAAAGUAAUUUUAAUAAUAAAUAGAAGCAUAAUAUUAAAUAAAGUUUAAAUUAUUUUGAAUAUUAUAAAAAAUAAUUUUAAUAUUAUUAAUAGGAAGAUAUUUUGUUAAUUUUAAAAUCUUUUUAACCCAAAGGUUUAUUUAAAAUGUUUAUUAUAAAUAAAAAUAUAAAAUUAAAUAUCAUAAUUUAAAAUUUUUAAUAUUAUUUUAAGUAUUAAAAAUAUUUUAAUGUUAUUAGUCUGCUACAUAGAUCAUAUUACUUAUAUUAUAUUUGUAAUGACUAAAAAUUUUUAAAAUCAAAUUUUUUAGUUACUAUAUUUACGAGAUAUUAUGGUUAAAGAAAAGACCUUGGUGUUACUUUUUACAAAUUUGAGUGUCUGCAUGAUAAUUUUAUCAAAAUUUAAGAAUGUAUGUGUCCUUUUCUCCAAUAAUUUAUUUCACUUUUGAGGGGAAUCCAAUGAGAAAUAUGAUAAGAGAAUGUCAAUUAUUUGUCAUUUUCUAUUUUUUCUGUAAGCUAUUCAUUUUGAGCAUUAGUGAUCUUGUCUGGACUACUCCAAUUAUUGAUGUAACUCCAGUGGCUGCAUCCACAGUUGAAUAUAUGAUAGUGUUAGCUCUUAUUUGAGAAUUCAGAGGGAUCUUCUAUGUUUAUCAAUUGCAAUGUGCUAGUAUAAAUUUCUUUACCUCACAGUUUAUAUAGUCUUGCUGUUAAAGAACUCACUGAGGCAUUAUUGACUCAAUUUCAGUGGAGCAAUCGCGCGUAGUGGAUAAAUAAAGGAUAACAGAACAGAGCUGAAGUGCUAAAUUGGCUAUUAAAGAAGGGUGUCACAUGAUCACAAUCACAUUGGUGCACAACUAGAGUUAGGCAAAUUUUGUCUAUAUGUACUCUAAAUUCAGACAAACCAUACAUGCAUGAACAAAAAUUAAACCGUCGUUCUAAUCACAACAGUAAUUGAAGCUACAAAAGCCAGCAAAUCUGAACAAAGACUUAAAAGAAAGAUCUUAUUCAAGUUGUCCCCAAAAGACAGCUGAAAUGAAUAAUAUUGACUAUUGAUUGGGUCAAUGCUGAAUUACAUUUCAAUAGGAAAGCUUGGCAGCAGUUACAAUGUUUCCCCCUCUGAUUUUCGUCCAAAACAAAUUCAGUUGUAAACAACAAUCGAAGUAGAAAUAAUUUAUUCAUCAAAGAAAAUACCCAAGUUUUCAACAAACAAAUCUUCUUGUCUAAACUAAAAAAACUCAUCUCUAAAAUCUAUCUGCAAAAUAUUGGAAAUGAGGAGUGAUCCGUCAACUCCAUAAAUAAACUCAUGCAUAAUGUUAACAAUAAUGAUAAAUUACAUAAUAAUUAUUAUAAAGAAUCAUAAAUUGGAAACACUAAUCAUUCUACAAUCUAUUAUAUAAGUAAGAUAAAUCUCAUAAUAAGUUAAGUUAUAAUGUAAUAAAUAUUUUCAAUAUAUAAUUAUUUAAGAAGUCAUUUAACAAUAAAAUAUUUUUUUUAUUCAAUUGAUCAUAUAGCGUUAUCUAAACUCAUGACGAAAUUAUUAUUACUCACUUUUCUAAAAAAAACAUGAUUAACUUUUAGAGAAAAGUCAUGCCUUUUAGAAAGAAUAUUACCGUGACAAAAUUGAUGGUGAUUAAUUCUAUUUUUAAAAUAGAUUUAAUGCACAAAUAUGGUGACUUUUGGCAAAAAUUAGUUUCGGAAGAUAUAGUGGUAGAAAAUAGUGAUGAUUAUUGUUUAAAUGUGUAAAUAGCCGAAGCAUAGCCCGUGAUACCAAUAUCCAUUUGCACCUUCAUUUGGAUUAUCACAUUUCAUGAUAUUCUUUCGUUCAUGACCAUUGUUCAAGAUUUGAAUUUGAAUACAAAUUAAGCUGCAAGGGAGCUUACUUCGGUUUCUAAGCUUUUCAAUUGUGAUUCCUGCAUGCCUUGCUCUGAUACUAUUUUGUUACUUGCCAAUGUAACCAACCUUGUAAUUGGUCUGUAUAAGAAAUCAAGCCCUUUCAGGAUUGUUUUCUUUUGUUUCUCUAUUGUAGUAGUCAACUAAAUAAAGAAUGAACAACUGAACUUGAUCUAUUUUGAUGAAGACCAAGACCUCCAAUACUAAAUGAACUUUGAAGAAGAUUAAUCUACUGCUUUUAUUCAUCUUUGGACUAUGAAUUUAUACAAAGACUUUAACAGAAAAUAACAAAGACAUAGCUAAAUGAUAGCAACAAGUGCUGACUUAGUGGACCACUUCUACAAGUAAAAAAAGACUAAAUAUUUAUUUUGACUAUAACAACAACUACCCUGAUGAACAGGACUCCACAUCAGCCACGUGACAACUAAUUUCUCCUUAAUAUUAUUAUUAGUAGAAGUAGAUUUUCAAACUAGUCUUGAUAUAUUUCAAAGUUGUAUUAACAAUGUAUAUGUAUCUAGAUUGUAACUAUAUUUUUAAAAAAUAAAAUAUUUUAAUUAUUGCACAGUAAAUGUAGAAGAAUAUCUGUAAAAUAAUAUUAUUAGGACUAAAAAAAUAUUAUUUUAGAUAAGUUAUUUAUUUAUUAUUGAAUUGAUAAUUUAUUAAUUUAUUUCUAAAUGAUAUUUAUUAAUUUAAAGAGAGACUUUUUUGGUUUUAUGAAGAGUUUGUUUGGUACAUGUUUACACUUAUAAAGAAACACAAAAAGUGCUUCCUCAAGUCAAUGGUAUUUGCUUUAAUGGCUACGGUUCAUAAUAAUAUAGCUUAGUAAGGAAAUUUGUAAUUAUAAUAUGACUCUUUUAGUACAACUUUUCAAGUAGAAUUUAUUUAAGUAGAGAUUUUGUUAGGAGAAGUAUUGUUAAUAGAGAUUUCACAAAAAAAAUUUUAAUUAUUUGAUUAUAAUAUCCAAAUUGAUGAACUUUUGUUCUUUUGUUAACAUCUGUUUGUUUUACUUAAUAAUAAAACUUUAGUGGGUUUGGCUACAAAUAAAAGUUUAGUGGGUUUGGCUACAAUGCCGUUGGCAUUGUUCCCGGCACCAUGCCGGGCUCUAAAAAAGAGAGCCCGGCUGUCUUUGGCUGCCAUUUGGCAGCCAAAGACUUGGUGCAGCCGGUUAACAAACCGGUUGCACCAUAUUUUUUAAAAAAUAUAUAUUAAAAAUAGAAUAUAAAAAUGAAAAAAAUUAAAUAAAAUGUCAAAAAUAAUUUUUAUAAUAUAAUUAAUAGCAAAAGAUAAAGAAAUUAAAUUAUAUAAUACAAACCCUAUAGUACAAUAUGAUAUAAUUAAAUAAAAUGGCAAAAAAUAAAGAAAUUGAAAAUGAAAAAAAUUGUAUUUCAGUUUUAACGUUAGUUAUUGCAUGUCCGACGUCCCGAUUUCAUGUUUGACAUAAGAAGUUGCAUGUUUUGGAUAAAACCAAAAUAAAGAAUAUUCUGGAAUAUUCUCGUCUGUUUCAUGUUUGACGUCAAAGUUGCGAACUUUACGUGGUAAGUUGCAUAUUUCGCGUGAAGUAUUGCGAGUUUCAUAUUUAACAUCAGUUGUUGCAUUUUUUACGGUUGGAUUUCAUGUUUGACGUACGAUGUUGCAUGUUUUGAAUAAAGCCAAAAUAAAGAAUAUUCCGGAAUAUUCUCGUCCGUUUCAUGUUUGACGUUGAAGUUGAGAACUUUACGUGGUAAGUUGCAUAUUUCGCGUGAAGUAUUGCAAGUUUCAUAUUUAACGUCAGUUGUUGCAUGUCGAACGUCACGGUUGCAUGUUUGACGUAAGCUGAUGCAUGUCUUGAAUAAAGCCAAAAUAAAGAAUAUUCUCGAAUAUUCUCGUCUGUUUCAUGUUUGACGUUGAAGUUGCGAACUUUACGUGGUAAGUUGCAUAUUUCGCGUGAAGUUUUGCAAGUUUCAUGUUUAACGUCGGUCGUUGCAUGUCGGACGUCACGGUUGCAUGUUUGACGUAAGCUGAUGCAUGUCUUGAAUAAAGCCAAAAUAAAAAAUAUUCUCGAAUAUUCUCGUCUGUUUCAUGUUUGACGUCGAAGUUGCGAACUUUACGUGGUAAGUUGCAUAUUUCGCGUGAAGUUUUGCAAGUUUCAUAUUUAAUGUCAGUUCUUGCAUGUCCGACGUCCCGAUUUCAUGUUUGACAUAUGAAGUUGCAUGUUUUGGAUAAAACCAAAAUAAAGAAUAUUCCAGAAUAUUCUCGUCCGUUUCAUGUUUGACGUCGAAGUUGCGAACUUUACGUGGUAAGUUGCAUAUUUCGCGUGAAGUUUUGCAAGUUUCAUAUUUAACGUCAGUUGUUGCAUUUUUUACGGUUGGAUUUCAUGUUUGAUGUACGAUGUUGCAUGUUUUGAAUAAAGCCAAAAUAAAGAAUAUUCUCGAAUAUUGACGUUGAAGCUGCGAACUUUACGUGGUAAGUUGCAUAUUUCGCGUGAAGUAUUGCAAGUUUCAUAUUUAACGUCAGUUGUUGCAUUUUUUACGGUUGGAUUUCAUGUUUGACGUACGAUGUUGCAUGUUUUGAAUAAAGCCAAAAUAAAGAAUAUUCCGGAAUAUUCUCGUCCGUUUCAUGUUUGACGUUGAAGUUGCGAACUUUACGUGGUAAGUUGCAUAUUUCGCGUGAAGUAUUGCAAGUUUCAUGUUUAACAUCCGUCGUUGCAUGUCGGACGUCACGGUUGCAUGUUUGACGUAAGCUGAUGCAUGUCUUGAAUAAAGCCAAAAUAAAGAAUAUUCUCGAAUAUUCUCGUCCGUUUCAUGUUUGACGUCGAAGUUGCGAACUUUACGUGGUAAGUUGCAUAUUUCGCGUGAAGUUUUGUAAGUUUCAUGUUUAACGUCCGUCGUUGCAUGUCGGACAUCACGGUUGAAUGUUUGACGUAAGCUGAUGCAUGUCUUGAAUAAAGCCAAAAUAAAGAAUAUUCUCGAAUAUUCUCGUCCGUUUCAUAUUUGACGUUGAAGUUGCAAACUUUACGUGAUAAGUUGCAUAUUUCACAUGUAGUGUUGUAGGUUGCAUGUUUAACGUUCGUUGUUGCAUGUCCGACGUCCCGAUUGCAUGUUUAACGUAAGAUGUUGCAUGUUUUGAAUAAAGCCAAAAUUAAGAAUAUUUCAGAAUAUUCUCGUCUGUUUCAUGUUUGACGUCGAAAUUGCGAACUUUACGUCAUGAGUUUUAUAUUUCGCGUAAAGCGUUGCAGGUUGUAUGUUUAACGUUAGUUAUUGCAUGUCCGACGUCCCGAUUUCAUGUUUGACGUCGAAGUUGCGAACUUUACGUGAUAAGUUGUAUAUUCUACGUGAAGUGUUAAAUGAAUUUUGUUUUAAAAAUACAGUUUAACCUCAAAACUGUAUGAAACUAUGUUAUGAUCCAAAACGUUAUAAAAAUUUUCAAAUUGGUCCAAUUUUAGAAUUUCUAAUUAUUACUUUAUUAAACUCAAAACUUUCUGAAAUUAAGAUAUGAUCCAAAAUAUAAGAAAUUAUAGAAUGACCCAAAACAUUUAAAUAUUUUGAAAUAGGUCCAAAUCCGAAAUUUAAAACAAUAAUUUAUUAAAAUCAAAGAUUAUGAAAAACAACUUAACUCCAUAAAGACAUAUUCUUAUUGUUAAAGCACAAUACAUAAAUCUUUAUUUAAUCAACACAUGUGGUUUGUUAUCGAAAUCUCAAUACAACACAUUAGUCCAAAAUUAUCCAAAGCAUACGGAAAUAACAUAUUAUCCAUGAAAUAUCAAACAAUCAAAACAAAUCCAUGUCAUUCAAAACAAAUACAUAAUCCAAAAUCAUAAUGAAAUGUAGGUGUGUCCAAAUACAAGCAUAAGAGACUACUAAGGUGGUGAGGAUGGUGGUGAUGGAGGUGGAUACGGAUAUGGAAUGCCGAAGUGCUCAAAGAGGAGGCGCUGUCCAUGAAUAAACUGCUGCUGCUGGUGGUGAAACUCAGUCUGCCACACAGAGAGUGUCCUCACCUCAUCCAUAAGCUGCUGAAGAGUAACUUCUUCAAAAGUAGGAUGCUCGGGAUGUGGUAAAGAAGGUGCAGAGGCUGUAGGAGCCGAGGGAGAUACUGAAGGAGCUCGACGUCUACGCUGACCCCGAAAUGAAAGUGCAAAAACAGGUAGCUGAUGGGCUGGAACCACAGCAUUAAGUGGUCGAUCAUCACUUGGAGCAAGAAAGGUGAACUUUUUAUCAGUGACUUUUACCCAAGUGCCAUUACGACACUCAAAACCUAAAGAACUAACAGCCUCAUCCCCAAUGCUCUUAGACGGCCUACAUGAUGGUUCUUGGAUAGUGACGCUAAAGUAUUUGAGGAUUCGGGUGAUGAAAUGACCAUUCAGAAGGGAACGAGUAAUCAACUUAGGUAUACUAAGCAUGUUUCGGACAAUGGUGUAUCCUAAGUCGACUGGACGAUGUCUAAGAAUACAAUCAAUCAAGGCAACAUCCAUAUGAGAAACCUCAUCCAAAUGGCCUGAUCUAUGAAGCACAAUACUCUGAAUAAAACGAAGUAAUAUCCGAGUUUGAAGACAAAGACAUUGGGUGCGAAAAUGGAUAGUACAAUCAUCAUCCGAAAGAUCAAUACGACGACAUAUAUUCUUAACAGCAUCAAUAUGAACAUAAUCAUCAAUAUCAGGAGGUUUCCUAGGUGAAAAAAUUUCUAGGCCAUCAUCGGAAGUUCCUAGAAUAGAGUUCAACUCCGAAUCAUCAAACUCAAUCGAAACUCCUUCAACUGUGGUGAUUACUCGAUUCUCUUUCUCCGCGGAACAAUCCAUAUUCGAGUAAAACACUUUCACCAAGUCGGGAUAUACAUUUUCCUCAAAAACAAUUGAAUUAAGCCAACCAACAUCUUCCAACAAUUGCAAUAAAGUUCUAUUACUAAUACUAAGAUUAUUCAACCAAUCCGGUAAAACAAAAAAGGUUUGGAGUACCUCACGAGUCAUGAACUGUUGGUGAAAUCGUUUGGCUAGAUGUUUGUGGUUCUGAAAGUGUCUGGCCUCAAAGUUGGAUUUAUUGGAUGUGCCCCCUGCUUGUCGUGACCGGUUGGUAUGUUGAACCGGUUCUUUGCCUUUUCUUCGAAUCGGCCGUGAGCUUGACAUGGUGAAUUUUUUUGAUUUGAAGUGAAAUAAAUCAAUGAGAAGGGAGAUAAUAAGGAUGGAAAGAGAUUUUGAGAAGCAAUUUCGAUCAAAAACGGCUUCAGAGGGGGAAAUCUAGAGAGAGAAGUUUCGGCUUAAACCAUAGAAUUGAUUUCGGAUCUAUUGAUUUUGAGGUUCAAAAAAGGUUUGAAGGAUGAUUUUGGAUACAAGAACGGAUGGGAAACAAGUUUCAUGGAUCCAUUUGCAUAAAAAACCUGUGAAAAUGAUGGAUUUUGGAGAGAAAACGAGAGAGGAAUAUUCGGUUUUAGAGAGAGAUAGCUAACCGGUUUACCGAAAGAUAAAGGAGGAGAUGAACAGUUUAUAUACUCGCGAAUCCGGCUAUCCGGAAAUUAUUAACCGGCUAACCCAUUGUAGGCAGUGACCUACCCACGCGAAUUCAGAUUUCCGGUUUGAAUAACCGGCUAUCCGGUUUCGUCUCCAAGAAAAAACAGCAAACUGCCUCACUCGGCUGAGAUAAAAAAAAACCAACUGUGAUAGGGAAUGCAUAAUUUGUUUGAAAGAUGAAGUUUCACUUGAUUUCUUGCCAUGUGCGUACCAAGUUUUGUGUGCCAGUUGCAGUGUCAAAAUUAUCAUAGUUUGUCUUAAGAAGUCUGAAAGAUUAGAAAAAGAGAUUGCUAAGUUCAAGAAAUGAAAGUGAGAUAAAAUUACUUGUGUCGCUUCUUGUGUCUUCCCAUUGUUUAAUUCUGAUAUUGUUGCUUACUAAAUUAACAAAGAAAGACCAGCACAAUGACUGCUGAUGAAUACUUUGAGAAGCAUCCAGAGCUAAGGAAAGAAGUUUGAUGAUGAAAUCCGGAAUGAUUAUUGGGGAUAUUAAUUCAGUCAUGUGCAUUCAGUUAUCGGGAACAUCUUCUUUCAUGCAGACUCUCGAGUUCAUCCCAACCACCAUGCUGUUUUGGUGCAUCAUAACAAGAAUAAGCCAAUUGUUUUACUCCAUUUUGGUUGAUUUGACUAUCACAAAAAAUUCCAUGAUAUUUGGACAUUACUCAGAAUCUAGCUAUAAUAAUUUCUCUUUUCUUAUUUGCCAAAUUUGCAUUAAGAUUUUUUUAGAAGAACUUUUAUGUUUUCACAUUCAGAAAGAGUUAAAGCAAAGCAAUUGCAGUAGCAGUGUGUAUGGAAUUUGUUGAAUGGAUCCAUUUGAAAGUCCAUUUUUUAUUCUUUAAUGUAAUAUCUAAUAUUAAAAAAAUCUUAAAACAAAAAUAUGAAUGAAUUGAAAAAUCAAAGUAGUAUUCCACAUUCCCAUGUAAAAAUAGAUUAACGACACCACUUUAAGAAAAGCUAAAAAUAAAAAUAGAUAUAUAUUAUUAAACAAAAUGAAAGUUGGAACUUACAAAGAGCUAAUAUUAUUACUUUAAUCUUCUAGUAUUUAGAGUUCAUCUUGUGGCUGAUAUUAUUGCUUGGCUACGUGAAACCAUUUUAGUCUUGUCAACACUAUCUUGUGGCUGAUAUUUUUUAUUGAAAUGCUCUUCAUCCACCAACUUGGUUCUUGUCAGUUUGCUUGGUAACUUCUUCUUGUUUGGUUUUGGUGCAUUAUUUAUCUAUUCACUCGUUAGUCAGACACUUUUUUUUUGUAUUUUUUGUUUCUACGCACAAGACUGAUAAAAUUAAAUGGGCUUAAUCUUUUGUCUUCCUAAUAGCAAUAUUCAAUAUUUAUUUAGUAAUAUUUCUAGAACUCUAAGAAAUAACUGGAUUUAAAUUUUAUGAAUUAUAUAUUGUGCUAAAAGCACAAAGACAAUCAUAUGAGUGUAUAUUAUUAUUAAAAUUAAACAAUUGGAUUUAACCUCCUCUUCAUACAAUUCAUAUACAUUGGCUCGCUCUCGCUCUCUUUUCUACAUGCAUGUGUCAUUUACAUUUAGGUAUUUGUAUGCGCGUAUAUUAUUAUAAUGUAAUCCCUCUAAAAAAUGAGACCAAUCACAGUCCAAACAAAAAAAAGAAAGAUAAAGAAAAGUUAAUACUUUAAUGGCAUUGUUAAUACGUCACAGUAAUCAUGUCCCUCGAAUCCGGAUAACUGGAUUUAACAACCGGUUAUCCGGAUGUUGACUGCAAGCAACAUGCUUGCUGUCACGCGAAUCCGGAUGACCGGAAGUCAACAACCGGUUAUCCGGAUGUUGACAGCAAGCAUGUCAAUCGAAACCGGAUAACCGGAUUUCCUAACCGGUUUUCCGGUUAUUGCAUGUCCUGUAUAAAGUUUAAAAAAAAUAAAGGUAAAAUUACCACGUUUGGUUGGUUAGGUUUGCAAUAAAUAUGAUGAAAAAAAAACUCACCUUCCCUCCAUUAAUGAGGGAUUAUCCUAAGGCUCAUGUCCAAGACUUCUUCACAAAAAACACAGUCACUCCAAAACAUAGUCCCAAAUACUAUUACUGCGGUCUCGUUCAACAUCUAUGGUGCCUAGUUUUCAACUUUUCAAAAGUUAAGUUUCUCUCCAACAAAGGUAUGUGUUGUAAUUUAAGUAGUUGAUUUGUGCUCCCAUAGAUGGUUUCAGAAAUAUUAUUAUAUUAAAUUAUUAAGAUAAAGGGUGUGAAUUAUGUUAUUAACAAAGUUUUGGUUGAACAGGGGUUAAAUAUGAGUAGCCCACAUAGUUCCAGCAACCUAGGAAUAUCCAUUGCUCCAAAUGUUGGUUUACAGGUAUCGGACGUACUUGGCAGUCAUUUCGACUCAGUAGAAGAUGCAGAACUGUGGUAUAACAAUUAUGCCCGAAUGCUUGGUUUUGGUGUUAGGAAAGAUGAUAUGCGGCGCGGAAAAAAGUCUAGACGAAUCACAAUUCGACGUUGGGUUUGUCAUUUCGAAGGGGUAAGAGAUGAAAGACAAUCUCAAAACUGCAGUAGGGUGCAGAACCACGACCUAUAACACGAACCGAGUGUCGGGCAUCAUUUCGAGUGAAUUACGAUGAUUCAGUUGGUAAAUACAUCGCCAAAGAAUUCAGGCCUGAGCACAACCAUCAUUUGGCUUCUACUAAUGGAGUUCAUCUCAUUCGUUCACAUCGAAAGGUUACUGAUGCAGAACUUGCGCAAGCAAAGGCAUUAAGGCAUGUUGGUGUGAAGACUUGCCAAUUCAUGGAUUACAUGGCUGAUCAGGUAGAGGGGCCUCAAAACCUAAGGUUCACACGCAAAGACAUGCAAAACACGCUAGAUGCUUCCACUCGUGCCGAGGUUGGAGAUUCUGACUCAGACACAACUAUAGCAUACUUUGCGGCAAAAUCUGAACAUGACCCUGGGCUUUGCUUUGAGUACACACUAGAUGAUGAAAAUAGACUACGAAAUUUGUUUUGGGCUGAUUGUGUAGCUCGUUAUGACUAUCAGUGUUUUGGUGAUGUGUUGGCAUUCGAUGCAACGUAUAAGACUAAUGUAUAUCAUAAACCCCUCGUUACACUUGUCGGAACAAACCAUCACUUCAGAACAACGGUCUUCGGUUUUGCUUUGCUCGCAGAUGAGACAAUUGACUCAUACACGUGGCUGCUACAAACUUUUCUAUCCACUAUGGGCAACCGAAUGCCCGUGUCUGUAAUUACUGAUGGUGACAAGGCAAUGUCGAAGGCAAUAAAGACAGUGUUUACCGGGUGCAUCCAUCGUCUUUGUUGUUGGCAUCUUGAGCGCAAUGCGCAGGCUAAUUUGAAGAACGAAGACUUUACGAGAAAAUUUCGUGAUUUGAUGUUGACACCUAUGACGGUAACUGAAUUUGAAACCCAAUGGUCAGCUGUAGUGGCUGAAUUCGCACUUGAACAUCAUGCAUGGGUACAGAAAAUGUAUUCAAAGCGGUGCAAGUGGGCGGAAGCUUAUCUUAGAGGAACAUUCUUUGCUGGUAUGCGAAGCACUCAACGAUGUGAAAGUAUGAAUGCAUAUCUUAGCCGAUUUGUCCAACAUAAACUAAAAUUGUAUGAGUUUGUGCGACAAAUCGAUCGUGCUCUCCGCAAUAUUCGUACCACAGAAACAUCCGAUGAGUUCAAAACCAAAUACAGUACUCCUGUCUUAAGAACUCACUUACAGAGCCUCGAGAAACAUGCUGCACAAUUGUUCCCGUUAAGAGUUUUUUCGAAGGUUAGAGAUGAGAUGCUGCGAGAAAGAGCGGUCAUCGAAGUAAAAACUGUCAAAGCUGUCGAUGUUGCAUUGUACACAGUGACUGAAUUUAGGACACCUACAACAUGUUGGAAUGUCAUCCACAAUCUACAAGAAAACCACAUACAGUGUUCGUGUCAAAUGAUGGAGUUUGUUGGGCUUCCUUGUAGGCAUAUGUUUCAUGUCUUGAAAGUGGAACAAAUUGAAAAGAUUCAUGACAAUAUGGUUUUUCGUAGAUGGACAAAAAAAGCCAAGGAGCACAAUACUUGCAGGACCACAAAACCAGAAGUUGACACUGAUGUUUCAGAGAUGGCUAGAUUUAGUGCAUUGUCUGCAGCCUGCAAUAAAAUGUGCUACAAUGCAGCAAAAAACGUUGAAGCCUAUGAAAAUGCAUUGGUAGAAAUCAAUCGGCUAACAUUAACUUAUGAACAACAAUCUGAACGAGACGGUCUCCCAAAUAAAAAAUUGCGGAUGGGAACAAAACUUCGUAAUCCUGCAGUUGUAAAAACCAAGGGCGCUAUGUCUAAAACAAAAUGUGUAGCAGAAAGCUCUAGAAAGUGUGGAAAAUGUCGUCAGGUUGGGCAUACAACACGAACUUGUUCUAUUCAAGGGAAUGAUAGCACCCAGCUAAGGUAUGUCCCAAGUUCUUUAUCAUGUGUUUAAUUAUUGCAUUGUUGGAUAUUUCAUUGCAAAUAACUUUCAUGGUAUUGAUUUAGUGUCGAUGGAAACUGUUUUGCCGCAUUCGAUUCAUCAAGCACCCAGAAUCUUGGAGCCUCUACUGGUGUCAAUCCAACAUUGUUAGGUCAUGCAAGCAACCAAUUUUCAAAUGUUUUUUAUUGGUGGCCUCAUUAAACAAUGCCAUUAAAAUGACUCAAUAUGUAUUACCAUUUGAAUUCCACUAUCAUGUACUAACAUGACAACCAGUUUAAUAUCAAAUGAUGAGAUGUGAACACUGUUAACAUGCAUAUGUUCAUUAUAGUUAAAUUAUGUCUCGGCCAAGAAUACAUAACCAUGUCAUAAAUUUAAAGAUAAUUCUCCAUUACAAUUGAUUUUACAACCAUCGUAAGCAAGAAGACAAAAAAAUUCACGGUAUUACCUCCCAACAUGUUUCAAACAUCUUACAACAAAAAAUAGUAUGCAAUCACUUGCAUAAUCAUUCCCUACUAUAGUUCGAUAUCUAAGCGCGUGUUCUCGUGUUAACUUUCUUCUUCUUACGAAUGUUGCCGCUUUGUUGGUGAAAUGACUUUUGCACUUGAGAGGAUACAGGGUUCACCAUUACAGCAUGAAUCGCAAACUGUGCAUUGCUUAGUUCCAGCAAUUUAUCUCGAUUUUGAUUCAAUGCAGAAUUAAUUAGUUGAAUGGCUAGCCUACCUCGUGUAUCCUCAGAUGUGAACUAGUCAAUUUGAAAGGAAACCAAUAUUACUUUCAUAUAAUAAGUAGCUUUUAUAUAAUUAUGAAGUUAACAAAAUUCUGAGUUCAACAAUUAAACAAGUUUGGCAUAGUCGUACCAAAGUGGACGAUUUCUUCGGAAUAAAUUCUGGGCUGUCCAUAUAGUUUAUCACAUAAACCCCACAGUCAUAUCCAUUCCUUUGCUUUGGAACUCCAAUGCCCCGGUUGAUUGGAAAGUCUUGAAACUUCAUGUGUUGCAUAUUGCUUGGCAAUUGGGGCUGCAUAAUCCAAUCCAAGGAAUGUAGCUGUCGGCAAUGUUGAAAACCAGACAAUAUUAUAGAUAUGAAUAUAACACAAUAUACAUAACUGAUAAUGUUAAAUAGAUAACAAAAAUAAAGAACAUGAUUAAGAUACAAUGCGCAUGGCUUGAUCGUGCCGUCUUCUAUUACUGCGGGGAUCUGGAAGAGGAUCCCAUAUUUCUGCACUUGUAUUUCUGACAUUCACGAUCAGUAGGUACCAAUGAGAUGAUUCAUCAUUUAUUGGCACAUAAAUCUAACAUUUCAAUUGUCAAUGUCAUACACCAAGCACACUAGUAGAAACUGAAAUAAGUUAAAGGUUAACAAACUAACCUUUUGACACUUAUGCACCUGUUGCAUAAAAUUCUUUCCACAUCUAGCUGCCCUUGCAAAACAAUCCACCUCAUCUCCGACCAUUAAAACUGCUUGCUACACAUAAUAAAGACAACGUUGAAUAAGGAAGUUGUCAAUAAAGAAACCAAAGCACAAUGCAACAAGUACCGGCGAGACUCACAGAAUAUCUUGUUGGUAAAUACCAGUUCAUUGGCACAUCUUUCUCCACCACCUACUGAAUGAGGGUGAGGUGAUGCGCUUUCAUAGAAAUCACCUAAAAGUGAUCAUAUUUAUUGAGAUAUAUAAUAACAUGUAAUAAACGAUAAACAUAUAUUGUGACAUCACCAAAUGUUGAAACCUAAUACCUCGCCACAUAGAUAAGCCCCCGGCAAAAGAGUCAAUAAAGAAUGCCGAUUAAGAAUUUCGCCGCAACUAGAAACAAUGAUUUCACUAAAGAUAAAACACGGUAAUUUUUUAGUCGUAUAGCAUAACAACUAUAUACAGAAAACUAAUUUCAGUCUUCUGAAUUUAACCUUCCCUCUGCGUCCUUGUUAAAAGCAUAUUGAAUAAGCUUCAAUUCUUCCAGCGUAACUGGAUCAUUGACUUGAAACGGACCAGCUUUAUACUUGGGAUUUGCUCCCCUGGACACUUGAUCGUACGGUGAAAGUUGAUAUCGGCCUGGCCUACGAUUCCUACUUGGUCGCGUUGGCAGGACACUGAGACUAGUAGAUGUUUGAGGUUCUUGCUUAAGUUGAACUGGUUCAUCUAUAUCCUUUAUAAAAAAUAAAUUUAUAUGUAAGUUACUUCAUAAGUGAGUUAUCAUUGAAAUCAUUUUAAGAAAACGACGUUAUAAAACUGUACCUCAUCUCGGAGAUUAGGUGGUGGAAUAGGGACAAAGUGGGUAGGAUCUUUGCGAAAUUCACCGAUUCCUUCUCUUGUCCCCAUCCAGCCCAUUAAUUUAUCGAGGCUCAGGUUCAAUCUGCGAUCCACAGAGUCCUCGUCGCUAUCCAUUACCAUUUUGUUUUUUUCCAUCAGUAGUUGGCUCGGUUUUUCUGACUGGACAUGUUGGUUCUACUAUUUUCAAGCUCGGAGAUUGCGGGCAUGGAUCAGAUGGUUGUUUUGAUAGUGCACCAACCGGAGACUUGGAUCUCAAUUCCUCCAAAGACUUCUCAACCAUUUCCAUUCUCACAUUGAAUGAAUCCAUUUUGUGUUCAAUUCUGUGGACACACUGUGUUAGUACCCUAAAAGCUUCCUCCAUAUUAACAGUGCUCGGCCCAACAUCUUCGGUUUGUUCAAAAUGAGCGAAAUUUCUUUCGAGCUGCAGAAAAUUUGAUUCACGCAUUGGAACCUAAAAUAAAUAUGCACAACAAUCAUACAUAAUGACAAUCAAAAUAUAUUCAAUUAACCGUAAACAAAAUUAAAUACAUGUGUGAACAAGACAAAAAAUAAAACAAACCUCAGUACUGGUCAUGUCCCCAAACUUUUUCCGCCAAUUCAAUAAGCGCCGAAUCUCUUCCUUGGUCCAUACACUAACAGGGCAAACUGUUCUGUCCAUGGAACACCGAUCAUAUAAAACAGCACUAAAGUAGAACAACUGUACAUUCAAAAAACAAUUACUACGUCAUUUUAUUUUUCGUAUUUGGAAAAUUAAUUAUGGCAUCUAAGAUUUCUUAAAUAUACCUCUAAAAACACAACACAACCACUAACUGACUUCACUUGAUUAUCUUUAUACUUCGCUAUGCCCUCCCACAGAAAGUUGAAACACCAUGUAGCCCAAUUCUUUUUCCUAAUUAAUUGCACAUCUUUUAGGGAAUGCAGAUACAUCGGAUUGAUGUAGCUGGCACUUGUGGGACACAAUACAGUUCCUAGAAGAAACAAACAAAACAUGAUCUUAAAGUCAUCAUCACUACUCUCACUAGCUAUUAUUCUUUCACUAACUGCGGCUAUUUCAAUUCCUCUUCCACUUGUUCUAUACUUGGCACGCAGUUCAAUUAUAUCACCCGCUUCUUCUCGGAUGUAUACUGGUUCCCCUCCAUCUUUGAUCCCCAUUACGAUGCUGAAGGUUGUAGGGUUUAAACAAAACUCUCUCUCGUGCAAAACUAUACAGUGCCUCUUUGUAUCACAUUGUUGGACAAGUGUUUCACAGAAGUCUUGUCUCAGGCGACCACAUCGUAAUUCUAGCAUGCUUCCGAAGCUAAUUUCUCUAAUUGCAGCUUGUUGGUCGGCCGAUAGUGUGGAAAUGACCUUAGUGAGUGCACUGACACGACAACGAGAUAAAUUACAUUGGCUAUGCUUAUCCCCAAUUUUUUGUUCUUCAUCUUGUUUUUCAAUACUCCUUUCACCAACAUUUGAACUUGGGUCCUCAUGCAUCGUACCAAAUCGGCACUUCUCCUCAUUCGUUAAUUUCUUCCAUUUUUCAACAAUUGUCGCCCUACAAACUUUUUUGAUCCCUUCUUGCCUGACCUUUUCUGCUUCAUGCUUACUGUACACAACAUUUUAGUUCAACUAAUUACGUCAACAAAAUUGUUAUAAUAAGAACCUUAUUCAAAGCAAUAAUUUUAUACUUACAAAAAGUGUAUCCACGCUCUCUGACCAGGUCCUCCCCUUCUGCCUUAUGUGGACUCCAUUUUAUAACUGUAUGCUAUAUUUUAAAUCCUGAAAUAGACCACACAUAAAUGUAGUAUCAAGGCCGGACCCAUAACAAUGGCUAAGUUCUUGGCAAAUUAUUGAGCGCUCAUCUUUAGUAUUCCUACCAAAGACUGUAGAGCUCAAAACAAGCAAACAACACCUAAAACCAAACAAGAAAAAUUUAGGGUUCCCAUAGAAAAAUAACACUUAAAAACCAAAUCUCAAAAAAUCAACCACAAAAUAGAAAUAAAUUAAAAAAUGCCAUUGAAUUUUUACCAACUAAUGCCAUUGAAACCACGCAAAACCAUGGGAACAUUGCAUCCCCUUCUAAAUAUCUUUCUUCAAUUUAAUGCUUGAAUUACAGUACAUCAAUCAUAUCAGGAUUGAGGAUUUUCUUGCCAAUUUCAUGCUUCCAAGCCAUUAAUCAUCUCUUCAACAUCAAUUUUUCAUCAUCUAAAUAUCUUUUUUCACUCUAAAUUACCAAACUUCUAAUUGUUUCAAAUCUCUAAUUAUUUCACACAAAAUUUAUAGUACAUCACAAAAACCACAAAGGUCAAAAUUACCUCAUCACCUUCUCGUUAACUCACAAAAUGAAAAGGAAAGAGAGGAACUUGUGUUCAUCUUCAACACCUCAGGAUGACAGCGACCGCUUCAUGGAUUCCACUUCUUAUUUGCUUUGAACGAGAUGGUGCCUUUGAUCUUCUAUGAUUACUAAACAAAUAGAAGAGAGAAAUUUGAGAGAAAUUUGUGAUUUCAAAGUGAGAUGUGAGAGAUUGGGAAUGGCCUGGGUGAAACCCUCAAAAAGCAAAAUUUUGUUUUGCAAGCUUUGGGAACCGGUUUAAUAAGUUAACAAUUUUUUCCUCUUUUUUAUUUCUUUUCAAUCUCAGCCGUUGGAUUCAUUUUACUUGAAUCCAACGGCUGCGUUUACAAGCCGGCACAAUGCCGGGCCUCAAUGCCCGGCAUUGUAGCUUUAGCCAAGUUUAGUUUACAAUUACACCGGUGUCAAAUCAGCAGAGCAUCGGCAAGAGUUUUCGAUUGUUGCAAUUUGCAAUGCAUGUGGUACAUGCACGCACUAAUAAAGAAACACAAAAAGUGCAUUCUCAAGCCAAUAGUAUUUGUUUUUAAUCGCUACUUUGCAUAAUAAUGUAGCUUAGUUAGGAAAUUUGUAAUUAUAUUAUGCGUCCGUUUGGUAUAACUUUUUAAUUAGAACUUAUUUAAGGAGAACUAUUGUUUGUAGAGUUUUUAUAAAUAGAAAUUUUAAUUAAAAAAAAUUAUAAUUAUUUAGUUGUCAAUGUCCAAAUUGAUGAACUAUUGUUCUUUUUGUUAACAUGUGUUUGUUUUACUUAAUAAUAAAACUUUAGUUUACAAUUACACCGGUGUCAAUUAUACUAAUAGCAUCGGCAAGAGUUUUCGAUUGUUGCAAUUUGCAAUGCACGCGGUGAGAGAAAAUGAGAAUCUUGUUUAAUCCUUUCAUUAGGAGUAAUUUAAUAAUCGUUUGUUAUAAUAGAAUAUGUAUAAAGAAAGGAAAAUUAUAUUCAUAGAUUUGGCUUAUUUUUUGUUUAAAGUAAUUCAGAUCAUUACAACGUCCUUUUCGCUAAUUAAUUACAACGUCCUUUUCGCUAAUUAAUUAUGAUUAUAUACAUUUUCAUAUGGCAAGUGGCAUUGUAGAUCUAAACGACGUUGCUAUUUCAAUACGUUAAUUAAGUGAUUCUCCUGAUUGUCAUCAGCGCUAUACCCUCUAGGAAAAUAGCUCAAUUGUUUUCCUGCAUUGAUUUUCAUUGGUAUGUGAUUUCUUAUGAAAUUCUUUUGAGCUUUCCUUAGUUAAAAAGCUUGAGCUUUUAUCACCUAAUACUGAUAUCAAUUAACUUGUGAACGAUUUUAUACCCUCUCUUUUUUUUCUUUUUUUUUAAGUACUCUGUUGAAAGCCAAAGUUCCUUUGGCCAGUUAAUUUAGAAGUGAAGGAAAGAAUAAAGUUAGGCCUCGACGUCUUUUGAGAUUAGAAAUACAUUUUGAAUGCUUUAAUAGAUGCAGAGCAAACUGGCUCGAUAUCUAACUAUUUUAAGAGCUAAAAUCAUUUAUUAGAAGUUGUAGCAUUAAAAAAAAUGGGCUUGAUAUCCAAUUUUGUUAUUGAAUAUGUCUCACGUGUUACUGGCAGAUGGCUAUGCUAGGUUUUAUUGCUCCUUGAAUUUGAUUGAAAAAUUAUUGAGGCGGACAAGUUUGGACCAUUGUUGGACACUGAAACUACACAUCAGUCUUAGAAAAUUGUAAUUUUGUUGGCUUAUCAUGAUUUUGAUCGCCUCACAUUGAUUUUCCUAUGACGUCUCUGUAGAGUGGCUAUGCUUACAUUUUUAGGUAUUUAAUUCUAAAAAUUAACUUAUUAGAUGGAAGGACCAAUUCUACCUGUAAAUACAAGUGGCUUCCCUUUACCAACUCAUACAAGACACAACAAUAAUCUUCUUCAGAAAAAACCACCGUCGGAGGGCUAUUUUCGUUCAACAUAAAUGAGUUGUUCCGCCACCAUAUUUUAAGGGUUUGCUUCUAAUACAACUUGGGGGAGCUAGGGCUAAGAUUUCUAAGAAUCAACAUAAAAACCUUGCCUAUUGGAUGGAAGGACCAAUCCCACUUAUGAGUCUAAAUGACUAAUUUUUGAGGACACAACUCAACAGACCAAUAUAAACUUUUGACGUCCCAUUUUAUUACUUUCCUGUGUUUUUACUUUUGAUGCUGUCUAUAGCCCUACUAUUCUAUUAAGCAGAAAAUAUUUCAAGGCACUCUCGGUCCAGUAGAUAACUUUGGUAUUUAUUAUCUAUUUUCUUUCCAUUUUAUGUAAACCCCGAUCUUUACCUCUGAUUGGUUGUAGAUUCUUUUGUUGCUUUGGGGUUAGGGGAUGGUUUUCAUAACUAUUAAGUUGAUCAAUGCAGAAAAUCACCAUCAAGAAAUGAUAAAGGAUUGUUAGUUCUAUCUGACAAACAACAUUAAUAUGAAGGAUGAUGAUUGUUCUGUUCAAGAGUUUAUAAUGACAUAAUUCUACUUUGGUCUUUUAAAAAAAGUAAUUUAGAAACGAGUAUGUGAGUGAUGACUUUUACAAAAUAAAUUACAUGCGCAGUGAUGAUUUUGACACAUGAAAAUGAAAAAAGAAAUAUAACUUGUGAAUAAUAAUUGAAGUACCUGCUAUUGUUAUAUUGGGUAUUGAUAAAUGGAUGGUUUUGGAAGAAUUGAAAAUGAUGGCAUAAGUAAACCGAAGUUAAGAGAAAAGAGAAAGAGCAUUUGAACUUUACUAGUAAGUAAAGGCAAAUUUCUUGGUUCAAGAAAAGAUAAGAGAUAUCAAACUAGCAAUAGGAAAAAGGAGGAAGGUUAAGACAGCAUCUUAACAAAAGCUAAAGAAAAGAAAAACUUAGUUCAAGCAAAGAACAAUGUGCUAAUGUCGUGUAAUCUUGUUUAAUUUCUUUUUCUUCUCACAUUUUCCAGGGCUUAAAUAAUACAAUAUACAUUUUCAAGCAAAGAACAAUAUGCAAUUGCAGUACUUCUGAGCACACAACAACAAAUAAAUAGUACAAUAUACAUACCCACUAAAUUAAAAAAAAAAUAUUAUUCAAGUUUGUGGACAAUACUGUAGCCAUGCCGUCGUCGAAAUCUACUGACAGCUGAAACAAAGAAAGAAUGGAUGAAUGCUGGAUCACAGUUGAAAUUGAAGGUCUGGUAGGUGAUGUUUCCCUCUCUGAUUUUACCUAAACAAAUACAAAAAAAUAAGAAUCACAAAUGAAAAUCUGCUAUUACACUGUUCUUACUUAUUAAAAUACAGAGGUUUCUUUGUUUCUCUGCAGCAAUGUCCAUGGCUAUUAGAAACAAGAACAAUUAGACCAGCAUUUGCAAGAAUCCUUUAAGGUAUUACUGCAGAUAUAAAUCCACUGAGGAAAUGGAAAAAGUGAAUACCAAAUUAGGCAAGUUAAAUGAAGAUUGAGUUAUCAUAGAAGAAUAAAACUCAUCCAAUUCAAUCCAUCAAAUUCCAUAAGGAUACAACUGGAUGUCAUACUGCUGCUCCAUAUCCUCAAGAGCCCGUAGAUUUUGCCUCAACUCUGGCUGAGGCCAAUGUAAGUCCAAUUUGCAAAAGCUCUUUAUGCACCAUAGCUCUUCAGGAAGCUUUCUCAAGUAAGCACAAGGGUUGACAAUUAUGCUCCCAAGUUUUGGCAUUGCUCCAGCCCCUAUCGUCCACUCCUCUAGCCAACAAAUUGAUUUCAGGUGCAAUACUUUGAGCUCCGGGAAACCACAAGAGCAAACACAAGCCAGUUUUCUUCCUGAAUAUGAGUUCUGCUUCAAUUUCAGCACUUGAAGGUGUGGAAGCUUGUCUAGUGUUAGCAUGGUAUCCGCCAAUAACUCAGUAUUUGAUAAGCUUAGUUGGAUCAGACUUGGAGAAGCUGGUAUUUAGACAGGGCCAUCCGAGAGAGCUACCACCUCUUGGUUUCGUUCACCAGCUUCAAGCAUUCAAGUUUGUGUAGUUCGCAUAGGCUUUUGGAAACCCCAGAACGAUAAUAACUCAAACCUCCAGAUACUAAGAGUUUGAAAAUGAGGUAGUCUGCCUGUUAAAGUAGCUCACUAUGCUGAACGAAAGAAGGAGAAAGCUAAGCUGAAGAAAAUACAGGGCAAGAGUAUUAGCUGUGCCAGCUCAACUGACAGCUCAGCAAAAUCAGUUAAAUUUUGUUACAAGCCCCCUGUGCAUUGUGCUGAAGAUUAGUUAGUUUAAUAAUGAUUAGUUUUAGAUUAGUUAAAAUGUAAUCAUGAUUAAGAUAUAUAUAUAUAUAUAUAUAUAUAUAUAUAGAUAUAGAUAUAUAUAUAGCUGCUGUACUGAUAGGGCAUCUCAAAAGUUCUGAAAUAAUACCUCAAUUCUAUGGCAAAAAUAAAUAAUCUCAAACAAGAACCAAUAAUCAUAUUUUGUUACUGUCAAACACAAUGCAUAUGAGCAAAACAUUGGAAGCCAACACCAGAAUACAUAUGAAUAAACAAUUAAAGAUAGAGAAAAAAGGCUUAAACCUUGGGGGAAAAAAGUGAAAAAACAUGAAAGACAAAUUACACAUGUGCAGUAACCAUCGAACUUAUCAGUGACAGCUGCAUCCAUUACAUUGCUCCAACAACACAAUGGCAAACCACCAGUUUCAAAUUGAGGAUAGCUAUCGAGAAUGAGAAAGUGUCCAAAACAUCAUAAAUAGACAUGUUCCUAUUGUGCAUAAUUUACAUUAUAGGCAAAUAUUCUUAUACCAUCAAAGGCAAAACAUGACACUAACAAUUGAUCCCCCCCCCCCCCCCCCCCCCCCCCCCCCCAACAAAAAAAAAGGAAAAAACAAUACAGAAAAGAUUGAAACAGAUAAGGCUACACUGAGCACAGGAUGCCAUGAAACAUAAUCCAGGAACCAAAUUAAUAAAGAAGGAAGGCAAACCAUUAUUUAACAAUCUGUUUUGUAUUUGGGAAAGUCCGAUAAAAUCUACUUAGGGAUAAUUAGAGAACCUCAACUAUUAAUCACACCUCAUAAAUGAACUAACAUUAACCAUGUACCAUCCCCACAUCAGACAAACAUUCUCUAUACUUCUGAACCUAAUACUUCCAUCUUCAAUUGGGGUUUUUUUUUGUGGGGGGGGGGGGGGAUAAGCUAUCGUGUUUCUAAGCUUGCUUACCUUCUGUGUGGGACUGAAAUACUGAUUUCGAAUCAUUAACAGUAAAAUUGGAAGCUCAUGAAAAAACAAUUUUAUCUUUUAACAAAAGUUAAAAUUACAUCUCCAUAUAAAUUCUCUUUUCAUUUCCUUCAAUUUUCUAAUUAAGCUUAAAAAAAUGUACCUUCAACCACAAAGGGGUUUAAAAUUUAAAAUAUAUAAAAAAAUAAAUUCAGAUAACAAUAAUUAAUUUAAUUAAAAAUAUAAAUAGAGAUUACAGAGAAAGAGAAAAUAGAGAAAGACCUAAUGUUGAGUCCUUUGGUUCUCUUCAUAGGUCCGAACCAUUUCUUCGGGCGUGGGUUUCGGGUCUUUAGGAAACUCCAUCGUCAUAAGCCAGUGAUUGUAAUCGCAACCCUCCAACAGAAUCGUGUCGGGUGU